AACGACAUUUCAUGAUCGCACACAAAUGGGAGGCAAUCCUUGUAGUAUAAAAUCUAACCCUUAAGCUUAAGGUUGUUAAGAUUGAUCCGAAAAUGAUUGAAAUUGGACUUUGGAUCAAUGAUCAUAAGACUACAGAAAAUUAAGGUCUAAAAGUGAUAGAAUCUUUAUCUUUUCUUCUACACUAACACCUGUAUGUUGUCUUUGAAAAAAGGGAAUGAAGUUCAAAAGUAGAAGAUAAAAGCAAGAGCAUCACCACAGCAGAAGAAGCAGAUCAAUGAAGAAACUCUCAUGCCUAUUAGAGAAAGUCAACUAGAGAAGCAUAUGGGGCAUGAGUAAAGAAGAGAAUAAAACAAACGCAAAACCAGAUAAUGGCAAUGAAAAGAAGAAGAGAGGAGGAUGAAAAAAAUAGAAAAGGCAAAGAGGUAUGUGCUACUCUGUAAAAAAGAAUUCCGUCCCCAACCAGGAAAGAUGGCUGCAGUACAUAGGUGUUGGUAUUGUGCUGCAUUGUUGUCUGUGGACACACAGCAGACCUUUCAUUUACCCCAAUCCAAGUUCUCAUGAAGGUAGAGCCCACUUCCAACUCCACCAAUAAAAGGUUAUUCUUACAUUAGAGAAAAGCUUAUGGAUUCUCCCAAGUCUGUACAGAAAGUAUAUUCAGCCUUGCCACCACCAACAAUUAACCUUCCAUGCAAUCUAAUUCAGGAUGAGGGCAACAUCUCAUUCUUAAUUGAUAAUUCUCUUAUAGUUCAAACCCAAAGUGAGCCCUGAUUAGCAGUUUUGGCGUUUAGAUAUUGUUUUAGACGUACAAUGGGUCAUGCAAAAUAAGAAUUGGAGCCUAAUUUGGUUUACCAUGGGAUUGAGUGCUAAUUAAAUAAGGCAAAGUAGGAUAUUUAGGACCAGGGUUAGAAACCAUUCUACAUCUCCAAUGGGAAUGAUUUUGAUGUGACCAACUUCCAUCGUUUUAAUUGUAUCCCAUAUAGAUAGCAAUCAUAAAUGCAAUUUUCAAGGUAAAAAAAUCUUGUAUAGUUUAUAAUUAACAACCACUAGUCAUAAUGCUCUAGCCAGUCCAGGAGGAACUUAUUAGCAUUCAGCAUAGCAUAACAAUGAAAUACCAUCAAUUUAAGGGCCAAAAUUCCAGCAGCUUAUCAGCCAAAAGCAGAGAUGAAAAGGUACAUAAUUGGACAUAGGUUAACCUCGACAAUCCCAUUCACUCCUAAAAAUAAGUGUAAGAUAUUUCUUUUAGUACAACAAAGUUUGGGAGCAACUAAAUACAGGAAUAACAAUUUAACAUGUAUGAAUGUCCAAGUAUCAGCGUCAUCAAGUACCUGCCAACAUGACACAUGUUGCGUUCAUGCAAGGGAGAAACUCCAGAGCACACCCUAAUUGCAAUGGAGAGGCACAACUCAUAAUCAUAGUUCAUAUUUAAUUGAUCGUAUAAUAGUUUGUCAGAGGUUAGACGAACAUCAAUCCCUGAAUUAGCAUUACCAAUCACUCCCUGGUAGUCAAUCUCAAUUUAUUUUCUCCUUGGUUUCUUUGUUAUGCAAGAAGUAUACUAAGUAAGGCAACGAGGAAAUACCUAUCCAUCUCCAUAAAAGAUAAUGCGAACCCCAAAAACAAAUCUACUAAGUAGAACAAAAAACAAAGAGGAGCCCCAACUCCUGACUUCACGAAACCCUGAAAAGGCGAUAAAACAAAAUAAAACUACUUGACUAAGACAAAGCGCCUUUUUCUCUUUGUCAUCAUAGACCAAGGAUAUUAUCUAAUUUUUCAACCCUUCACUCCCACACGUUUAACUUCAAUUCCAAACAGAGGGUGGGCCCAUCUUGUAAGAGUACAAGUUAAAAGUAUUUUCCUAGAUAGUACCCCAAACAACAAUGUCCAGUUUAUCCAUAGAACUUUGUGCACUACUUUCCUACUAAGCUCAUCCACAUGACACAGCUACUGAGUCCUACCUAUUGAGUUCAGUGUCUCCUCCAAAGCUAAGUGGUCAGGUGCUGAAGACUCACUGAUAUCCUGCCAGAAAGGAUAUCUCCGCAGCUAAUCUCUUCGCUUUAUUACAUAUCUCUCUGUAUACACAUACAGAGGCGCCACCAUUAAACUUCCAUAGGAAUACCAACCCCAACCUUCCUUCCAUCAUCAUUCAAGAAAAAAGAGAAAGAAGAACUACCCACAAAGGCAAAUCAAGCAUUGAAAUUGGAAGGGCGAGCUCGAGGAAUCGGCACAAAAGUCCACGAGCGCCAUCGCUUUGGAGCCCCUCUUCUUCUUUCUAUAAUUGGUCCUUUCCAUUGGAUCUAUCGCAGCAUACCAGAUGAACAGAAACAUCACCGAGAACACCUGAAAAUCGGGGGAAAUAUGUUGGAAAACCCAUCAAUUCCCCAUGACAAAAGAAAAGCAAUCAAUGUCAUCAUGGCACAAAGUAAACGCUAAGGAGUCACCACAAAAGAGUAUAUUGUAGUCAUGGUGAUUCAGCAGCCCCGCUCCCAAGUAACAGUCCCAAGAAGACCUAGAAGGCCACCGCUAGGAAACUGAACAUCGCCAUCCCAACUGUCUGCAAUUGCAAAUUUACAACAUGAGAUCGAUUAACUCUAAACUUCAAAUGUGAUUGAUCGAUCAUCUGCAUCACGCCCUACACAUCCACUCGUGGCUGAUAUAGAGCAUUCAGAACGUCGCCAAUGCAGGAAUUUGACUAAUACGUGCUAGCCCCAGCUCAAAACAGCAAACCUAAGCUCAUGACCUUGGUCAACUCACCAAAUCUUGACAGAACCACGGCAGCCAGCGCGACUUCCAGCUCCAACUGCCUACCCGAUUGCCGCCGAAACUACGGCGCUACCUACUACUGAGCAAACUAAAAUCUCCAAUCCGAAACAAUAACGUCCACCUUAUCCACAGAGCUUUGUGCACUACUUUCCUACUCAGCUCAUCCACAUGCCAUAGCUACUGACUUCUACCUGUUGAGUUUGCGGUCUCCUCCAAAGCUAAGCGGUUAGGCGCUGAAGACUCGCUGAUAUCCUGCCAGAAAGGAUAUCUCCCCAAGGCUAAUCUCUUUGCUUUAUUACAUAUCACUUUGCAUACACAUACAGAGGCGCCACCAUUAAACUUCCACAGGAAUAUCAACCCCCAUCCUUCCUUCCAUCAUCAUUCAAGAAGAAAAAUAGAAAUAAGAAGUAACCAGGUAGGUGAACCAAGCAUCGAAAUUGGAAGGGCGAGCUCGAGGAAUCGGCACAAAAGUCUGCGAGCGCCAUCGCUUCGGAGUCUCUCUUCUUCUUUCUAUAACUGGUCUUAUCAAUCGAAUCUAUCGCAGUACACCAGACGAACAGAAACAUCGCCAAGACACCUGAAAAUCAGGGGAAAUAUGUGGAAAAUCCCAUCAAUUCCCAGCAAACUAAAAUCUCCAAUCCGGACAAUCGAUGAGCUCGCGCGCCGGAGCGACGCGGUUCUAAAAUGCAGAUGAAGCUGAGAGACCACAGGAAAGACGCGUGCGUGCAUUUACUUGGAGCGGAUGGAGAGGGCGUUGCCAGCCGUGGCGUCGCGCCAUCGUCGUCGCCGUCGUCAUCUCCGCCGCGCCGAUCGACCUGCCCGCCUGCCUACGGUGGAUGGGCGGUGGGAACGGUGGCUUCGAUCUUCAGGCCUGGGAAACCACCAGAGCGACUGACUAGUAGCGAGAGAGAGAGAGAGAGAGAGAGAGAGAGAGAGAGAGAGAGAGAGAGAGAGAGAUUCCAUGGAAGUCCAGCCGUCCUUCUCUUCUGCACCGCGUAGCUCCGAGGUCUGCUAACGCUCGAAUAGUAAGCCCCCAAAAUCGUCCCGGGUCUCUUUCAAGCCAAGUUCUCUCAUCUGCGUACGCCUAAAAUUCGACAUGUCGGGCGAUCCUUCGAGAGAUGGGCAUUCAUAUAUACGGAAAUAUCGCAAGUGUUUCAAGUCUGACAAAUUCGGAAAGGCUUUCAAUUUUCUGCACCAUGCAAUAAUAAGGUUCGAUAGUCCAAUGGGAAGCUCUGGGAAAAAUUCAAGCCGAUGGCAAUCAACAAGACCGAGUAUCUUGAGACGGGUUAGCUGGGAAAGAUGGGGCAAAGACUGCCCCUGGUAGGUGAUACAUAGUUCCCUUAAGCCGGAGGGCAAUUCUGGUAAUUCAUGAAGCUUUACACAUUCACUAAAGUAGAGCACCUCUAGCGAAAUAAGUUUGCAUAUAUUACUAGGUAGUCCCUCCAGAUUUUUACAACCGAAAGCUUCCAAAUUUUGCAAUUUUGCCAACAUCCCAAUGUCAUCAGGCAAUUCUGUUAUGCCAGUUUCACUAAUACGUAAGACCUUCAAAUUUUGCAAAUUCCCAAUACUUUUAGGCAAUUUCGUGAUCGAUGUACUUCUUAAGUCAAGCUUGAUCAAUGAUGCCAAAUUUGUAAUAGAAGGAUGAAGCUCUUCUAGAUUCCCACAAUCUCUAAGACUCAAAAUCUCCAACCUUUUGAAAGUGGACAAGUCAGGAGUUCUUUUCAAAAAUCGACACCACUCGAGGUCGAGAACUUUGAGCUCGGUCGCCAUCUAGAAGAAAGAAAGGAUACGUCAGUGUAAUUGGACUGUCACAACCCGUGAUUUUUUGCUACUCCUUAUGUUUUUGACCUUUUAGAUUUCCUCAAAUAUUACCUGUGUUCCUCUACUCCUUCACAAUUGUCCUAUUUAAUUUUAAAUGUCUCCUUUAGUAGUGUUUGGUCACGACAAUAGAUAAAUGUCUUUUAAACAUAUUGAUUGCAAAAGAAUGUUAGGGCGUACAAGUGCUAACUACAUUUAUUUCUGAAUAACAUUUUAAAGGAGAUAUUUGCUUAUUAGACAUGAGCAACUUAUAUUAUCAAAAAAGAAUAUUACAAAUCCAAAUGAAAGAGAGAUGCAAUCAUUGGGCAUCAAGUUUUCCUUUAAUACUAUGAAAUUAAAUAGAAACGACUAGUUCAAUUAUGAAAAUCAAUUUUCAAAUGUUAUAUGUACAAGGAAAAAAAUGUUAAGUUAAAAAAAAAAAAACUUCGAUGCCUUUUUUACAUCUUACCUUGAGUGGAACCCAUCCUCCCCAAUCCUCUGAAAUUUCACUGUUUGACAAAUCGAGUACAACUAAUUUUUUUGGAUGAAAGUUGGCUGCUACAAAAUCCGAGGGACAGCCCUUCCAGUGAAGCCAUCUUAAUUCAGGAAGUAAGCUUUGGAAAUCUCCGAUGAAAUUAGCACCAUCCACUUGAAGAAACCUCAAGUUGGUCAUUUUUUUAAACUUUUUGGCUGUGUAUCUCCUUCCCUUACCACAUUUGCCAAGAGAAAGGGCCUCAAUCUUUUCGGUGCCCUGCAAGUUGGAAACAUUAUGGACCAUAAGUUUUGAAUGAUGAGAUGAGACCAAUUGAUGUAAAAUAAAAUGCACUGAUUUCGAUUUUCGUCAUACUACUAUGACGUAGGCUUCUCCCUUUCAUUUUUGUGAAAUGAAAGGUUGUAAUUGCAUAUUAUUUAUCUAAUCUAUGUAAAGAUGAGAAGCUCAAGCGGUUGUUUCCAAACUUUUUCCUCAUCCAACUAUACCCUUCUGUAAUUUGCACCUUCUGAAUUUCCAAAAUUUGGGUCCAUUUGCAGCUACAAUGGAAGGCCUCUCUUCAUGCAUAUACUAAAAUAUAUUUGUCAAAAUUCAUGCCCUUUAUAUGUGAAAUAACACUUCCUUAACUCCUCUCAUAUAUACGCGAACCAAUACAACUCUAACCAUCCAAAUGCAUCUAUCAAACUUGCCAUCAAUAUAAGUAUCAAGAUUAAAGAAUGCCGAUUGUAGAAUUUCCUCACUUUUUUGGCUUACUUUGUUUGCAUUGUCGAUAUCAAAAUGAAAACAAGAAUGUCUUUGCAAAAGAUACGUGUGUGUUUUACGUUCCUUUCUUAUCAUGUGGUCCUUCAAUGAGGGUUUUCCGAUGUUCUAUACAAUGAUCCUUACUUUUCUUUUUAUCACUACAUAUGUUUGAUGCUAUGUUUUCGUCGUAGUCAUCUAAAUUUUGAUCCAUUUUCCCAUGGAUUAAUGAGAUCUUCUGUCUGAAUAGAUUGGGCAUGAAAAUUGAUAAAAUUUGUAUUCUUAAGGAACUACGAAUCUUCUGCAUAUUUCUUUUAUUGUAACCUAAUAUUUUACAAACUCAAAUUUGUUUCUUGUUUUAGGUGACGAAUUGCACAUUGGCGGUUUCAACUUUUCCUUCAAAAAUUUUAUUCUUUCAUAUGAAUCCCUACUCGUUUUUACAUUAAAAGUUUACUGUGUAUUUAUUGUAUUUUUGUCAACAACUUCACAAAUACCAUUUUUUUUUUUAAACUUCUAAGAAAUGUUCUAUUCAGUUAAUUAUGUUUUUCUUCGUGCAAAAAUAUGCUCGCUGAAAAGUAGUGGUAGCAUUUUUUUCAAUAGUUUUGGCAUAUCAUUAUGUUUUGCAUCCCAUGUUUAUGUUUAUUUUUUGUUAAUUAACGGUUUUCGUGACAUUUGCACAUGCUUGUUUGAUGCUUGUACAAAUUUUCCAUAUGUUAUAAUUGCUUUUAGUGGAUUCCCUUUUAACUUUCACGCUGAUAAAGAAAAUUUAUCAUCACACAAAAUUCAAAACCAUAUAUACUUCGGUUAAUAAUAGCAAAAGUCCCAAACCGAUAGAUUUGUUCGGCAUUUACCCCACACUAAUUUUAAUGUCACAAAAAAGUUCCAAACUGAUAGACCCGUGUCACAUUUACCUCAAAUUAGUUUUCAUUUCACAAAAAUAAGAUAAUGUUUCUAAUGUUAACUAAAUCUUUGCUAAAUAAGAUGCUCACCAGGAAUCGAACAAUAAACAAAUUAUUAUUAUAACAUGAUAGCCUACAUUUAGCAAAUAAAUAAUAUUGGGAGAUUAAUCAAAAAAUCAUCCAUCAUCACAAAAAGAAAAGGUAUUACUAGAUUCAUAGAAAUAAACUGUCCAUUAUCAUGAAAAGUAUAUACAAUGAAAAUAAUAUAUGUUUAAAGGUUUAAAUUAUGCAGUUAAUUAUCCUACAUCAGCAAAUUGACGGUGCCAACUGACGAUUGACCACAAAUGACUCAAUUGCACGAAAAAGUGAAAGUUAGAAGACUAUACUGAGCAAAAGCAAAAAAUAAAUGGGGGACUAAAUUGCACAACCAAUAAUAUUUAGGGGUUAAACUUACCCCAACUUAAAUAAUACAGGAAACAAGAUAGCUAAAUCGUCACAGAUGAUUGGAGGUAUCAUUUAUCAUACCAAACAAUUCAUAAGAAGUCAAUACUACGUGAAAGAAAAAAAAUAAUUAAAAAUAGGACUCGCGGGAAACCAAAUGACGGAUCCAAACAUCAAAAUGUGCAUCAAACAAAUAUGUGGGGAGAGCAUGGCUGCAACAAUUUAUAAAUGUCAGGUUUUCUCGAAAAGUAAUUUGUCAAACAUUCUGCUUUUGUUGUUUUGCUGUUGCAUUAAAGUUACCAAGAGGAGAGUAUCCCCAACAAUAUACUACCGGGCAAAGAUAUAUAUCCUUUAUCCGUAACCAAGAAAUUGAUCCUCAAUUAUGUUCCGAAAUCAGGCAAAAAUAGCAAUUAAUCAAAAUAGCCCUUUUCCAAGUAGAAUCAGUUAAUUUUGGGGAGUCAAGAUUGACGAGUAUAUUUAUUUCAAACAAGAAAGGGGAGAUGAAAUCACAUUCACUUUCUACUAUGAGUAGAUAAAACUCUUACCUUGUUUCCAUCAAUUACAUCUGCGGCCUCCUCAGAAUUCCAUAAUCUACUCCGCUUUUGAGGCUCCUUUGGAUUUUCCAAACGAACAAUUUCCCUUCCAAGAUCUCUCAAUUGAUCAUGCAUCAUCAGUCUUUCGUAUUUGUCAAUUUUAAUUAAGGACAUAAGACUCAAUACUUCAAUCCCCCUCCCCGGGAAAAAACUACUGGCAUCCCACAUGUAAGUUGGAUUUUGUUGAUGUGAUUCGAUGAAAAAGCAUGCAAUAUCCAAAAAUAUUUGUUGUUCCUCAUCAUCUAAUGCUUUGUAACUUAUUUUCAACUUCUCUUGCACUUUCUUUAAUUUCUUUAACGUAUCUUUCCAUACUUCUUCUCUCUUUCCAUAUAAGAAUGAACCAAUAACUUCAAGAGCUAAUGCAAGAGCUAAUGGAAGCCCUCCAGUAGUAGAUUCAAUAUAAUGAGAGAUAAUCUCACAGUCACUCGAAGGAGAAUCCUAUAAUGUAUCUUUCCAUACUUUUUCAUUUGAUUAACAAUACUUGUUGCCCUAGAUUAUCAAAGAAAAAUUUACAAUAGUGAGCAUAUAAUUCAAGAGGAUAUGUAUCAGUCUCAUGGUUUUUAUGUAAGUUUUUUGCAUCGUUUUUAUUAGCUCAUUUACAAAUUUAAAUUGUGUUUACCUACGACUUUUUUCAAAUAAGACAGGUGGUUUAUGAGUUUUACAUUAUAUCAAAAUAGGUCUUACAUUUCAAUCUCUUUGUCCUUAUAUUUGCUAUUUUAAUUAUUAUAUGAUUGGACUUAAAGCUUCAACAUAAGACCCCAUCCCAUUCCCAUCCUAUAAGAAAGAGAUGUGUUGUAGAAAUUAUCUCAAAUAAAUGAAAAUUUUUAAAUAUAUUGACAAUGAUCUUGUAAUGCUUCAUGCUAGCAAUUGUUAUUAGUAGUAAAACAACAUUUUUGUUUGUCAAUGAUAGAUAACAUUAAUAGAUUAAAAAUAAAAACUUGCACCUUUAAAAUUAGAAAAUGACUUUGAUUUAAGGAGAACUAUAAUAGAGAGAGAGAACUUCAAACUAUAUCUAUUAUAGCACAAAUAUCCCAAAAACAAAUAAAUUAUAUCAACAAAAACUUUAAACUUAUCUAUCGUAAUAAAAAUAUACUCAAUUUUUUUACGUCGCGAAAAAACUCAAGCUUAUAUAUGUAUGAUAUGUACACCCUCUAUUUUAAUUACAUCCACAAUAUAUUUAUCACACGGGUCAUAGUGGGCAAAUCAAAGAUUUUUAGUAACCCCCAGUGGUCACCAUUCUAAUAUGGAAGGGGGAGGUGAGGGGUUCAAAUCCCCACAUUCUCAGGGAGAUGGGGGUGGGAACGCGUAAGUUUCAGGAGUGGAUUUCGACUCCCACGCCCUGCAAGAGGCAGGGUAUAAGUCUGAGAGUGAGUGUAGAGUAGAAAUAUAGUAGGACUGACAAAAAAAAAAAGAUUUUUAGUAACACAUAAAAAAAUUCAGGAUAUUUGUAUUGUGAAAUGUCCGCUUUGCUCCCUCGAGCUAAAGGACACUAGAGACCCCCCUCCGUUUGAAGAUUAGCCUCUCCCUUUUCAUUUUUCUUUUGUCCUUUUCUGUCUAUUGGUCGAUCUGAAAGGCCAAAAAGUCAGCUCUGCGCCCCAUUAAUCAAUCCGGAAUUUGUCCGACCAAAAAAAGGAAGAAAGGGAAGAACUUAAAAAAAUGAAGAAGCAGACGUAAAGCGGGUGGCAGGGAAAUGAUAUUUCGAGAAGCAUCGGAGACGUCGAUGCACGCACGAACAGCGGGGCCCCCACGCGUGCGUAAGCACCUUUUCUGUUCCCUUGCUGUGGACGCCACGCCAGGUCGAAAGAUUGGGGGGGAUUCAUACGAUGAAUUUGGGAAUCAAGGGGGUGGGGCCUACUCCCCUUGGCCCUUUUCUGUCCCGUUCCCAUGCAAGGUCCAUUGCACAUUCAUUCAAAGGCGUUCAUAUUAUAGCCAGCAAAAAGGUGGAACGAGACUACUCAUCAUUAGGUCGUCUCGGAAAAAGACAGAAAGAAGAAAACGGGGUUAGGAUCAAUGAAUUCUUCCUUGACGUGCAAGUGGGGAUUGACAACGAAGCCUGGAACUUGACGAGCGGAAGGAGGGGCUUGCACGCGCGAAGGACAACUGGGACGGAACCGGAUUCCAAUACCGUGUUUAGGAAUUAGAGGCUGCUCCUUCCCAUUGGAUCAGGCUUUUGUGACGAAUGAAGGGACUUGCGUAGGCGAAAGGAACUGAAACAGGACCGGAUUCCGAUACCAUGUUAAAAAUUGGAGGCUUCCUUUACUUUGGAUUGGGAUUUUGUCGACACGGACUCCGACAGCUUUAACACCUCUCUUUGGCGGGCUGAUUCCAUAAAAAAGCAUCAACUUUAGGUUGAUAGACAAAUUUGGCCAAAACUUUUUUUUUUGUCUCAUAAAAAAGCACAAACUUUAGGUUAAGGGACAAAUUUGACCUGAAUUUUUUUUUUUUAUCUCGUAAAAAAAACAUCAACUUUUGGUUAAGUGACAAUUUGACCCCAAUAUUUUUUUGUCUAGUAAAAAAUCAUAAACUUUCAGUUUUAUUCAAAAUCUAACCCCUACCAAUAACUUUCUAUUUGAAGUUAACCUUAUUUUAGGAGAAAAGAUUCUAGCCGUGAGGUUAGUGGAUCUCAUUCAUGAUUUCUCUUGACAGAUAGUGAUCUACAAUUUCAUAUUACGACAAAACGAUAAAGUCUAGCAAGAGAAAUUCAAUCUAGAGAUUUUUUCACUUGCUAGUGAAGUAUAAGAGAUGACAUAAUUUCACCAUUAUUCUUCAAGAUGUGGCUCACACAAGAAGAUAAUGGAUGGUGUUGGCUAGCAAGUGCACAUAGAUUUAUUGGUAAGGACAAUCAAUAAAUCUAAGUUAAAAGGGGUCAAAUUUAGGAUUUAAGUGAAAGUUGGUUAUUUUUUUUCGAAACACAAAAAUAUUUGGGCUAGAAUUGCCACUCAACCUAAAGUUGGUAUUUUUUUACGUGACAAAAAAAAGUUUGGGCCAGAUUUGUCACUCAACCUAAAAUUGGUGUAUUUUUACGAGAUUAAAAAAAAAAGUUUAGGCUAGAUUUGUCCAUCAACCUAAAAUUAGUGCUUUUUUUUGGAAUUAACCCCUCUGUUGGGUGGCUAGCUAGUAGCCUUGCUUCGCUUCUCGUCGGUGAAUGAUGAUCAUUGUCUUAAUCGAUGGAGCGAUUGAUCGAUCGAGAUGCAAUGCUCAUUGAUCAACCAGAUGCAAUGCUCAUUGAUCAACCGUGCAAAGAUCUCCAAGCCAUUUGUUCCCAAACCCAAUAGCAGACAAAAGGGAGACGUUCCUGAAUUCAGACCGUACUCUUCUUUUUUUGUUUGAGCUGCUCUAUUACGCGCUAUAUACAUAAACCCUUAGUAUGAAAUUGGGGUUUUUGAUGGUGUUGGGUUGAGAUAUUUUCUCUUUAUUUUCAUCGCAUGCAUUCACUUGAAUCCAACAUACUUGUUUCUACACCCGGAAAGAAAAAAUAGUCGAUUCUACGUUUGUGAAAAUAAAUCCAAGGGUCAGUAUAAAUCAAAUAUUUAUAUAUAUCAUAGGUCUUUAUAAAAAAUACAUCAUCCGGUUUUCUUACCAAAGACAAAAUUGUACUUCAAAAGUAAAUGGAAUCUUUUACUCGUUAAAUCACAAUUAUUUUUUAAUCUUUGAACACUUGCUUUAUUUUUUGCCAAAUAUUAAGCUCAUUUUCCUAAAUAGACUGAACAUUCAAAAACUUAUAGUGCGUUUCGUUUGACUUUACAAAUGAGUUUUAAAUGUAAUGCAAAUGUUAAAAAUCGAAAUCCUUUAGAGAAAUACAAAUUGCGUUUGAUAAAGCCCCUUGUAAAGCAACUUUGAUCAUAUUUACCGAUAAUGAAAAAGAAUUCUUAAUACUACUGGUGAUAUAUCCCCACUCAAUUUGUAUUUAGAUAGAUAAUAUAUAAGAUAUUUGCAAAAAUCAGAUAGGCAUUCGUGGGACGCAGUCGUAGGUUCAUCUCCAAGACGACACAUGUCAAAGAACAAAAUGAAUCGAAAACAAUAAUACCCCAUAAUUUAGUUUGACCUCCCCAUUCAUGUUGUGAGGAUUCAACAAAAGGAAUCACGUCAAUUUCACGCACAAACACACGCAUAUAUACAUAUAUUCCAACCUAAAAAGGGAAAAAAGAGCAAAAAGACAUGCAAAUCAUUACCUUUUCCCAAAUUAUCAGAGACGAGUUGGAAGGAAAUUAAAGUACUACCGACAACGUGGCUAAUAGAAAAAAAUAGAAAAGAAAGAUCGACCACAUAUUUUUCUUCUUUAUUUGUAUUUGUCUCCGUACACAUCUAAAUUUUCUCAAAGUGACCCCUAUGGGACCCUCGAGCCCAUUCCAUGAAUAUACUCAAAACAUUUGUAAUGAUGUUUUUGUGGGGCUGUGGAAGUCAUAUUCUAUUUUUCUUCAGGCAGCAACUAAACGCACCACGGGACAAUCUUUUGCAGUUCAACUACCCAACUUGCUCCGAUUCUCCUACAAAAGGGGCGUUUGGUUUGGCACCGGGAGAGCGUCUCUAGAAAAAUGCAAAGGCUUUAAGGGAUUUUUCAAAAUAUAAAUAACGUUCAAUAAAAUGUAUAUUAAAAAUAAAUUAAGAGGCAACUUUGACUCAAAAAGGGUACGGUGAAAACUACACCUUGUAAAGUAGCUAAUCUUAAAAGAAAUAAUUUAAGAAUUUUUCCUUGAAUUAUUGUCAUUUUGCUGCUUGGGCAGCACGGUGGAAGAUGGGAUCCAUACCUAGCCACACCGAGAUAAAUUUGUUGAACCAAGAUGCCAAGAUUUUUCCAAUGCCUUGAUCUUAAGAAGUCAAUUAAACUUUAACCCAUCUUGGUGCAUUCACGAGUCUUUAAAUGUCAAAGAUGGAGGGUCAAAAGAGCCAUUAUCAUAGGGGGGAAAGAGAAAGGUCAUGAAUUGAAGUUCAUGCAUUUGCAAUUCUUGAUACGUCACGAAAGAAAAAUGUAUGAUUAUGCGUCACGACAGGUUGAUGAUCUUUUACAUCAUCACUACAUCCAAUUAAAUUGUAGCCCUUCAUAUAAAUUUUUGCUUGCCAACUUGGGAAUGUCAGUGCAUGUGCACCGCCUGGUCUAAAAGCUUGUGAUCGGUGAUCACUCUCGAUCAAAGUGGCUAAGUUUUUCCAAUCCCCUAUAAAAACAAAUGCGUCAGCAUCAUGAUGAUCAACUCGGCACCUCAAAUCACGGGUUACAUUUAGUCCCCCCUAAUCCUCAUACAACAAAGGAAAAAGCUGUCCAUCUAUUUCAAAAGUAAAACCAGUCCACUAACUUUGUCCUUAGAGCACGCAAUUCUAGAUGUUCUAAAGCCUCAACAUGGAAACUAUGGGAUAAUGAUAUAGGACCGCGUUGUUUAUAUAAAAGAUAUGGGACUGUAUGGUUAUCAUUUGUGGGUUUUUGGCCCACUGGUAUAGGAAGAUUCUCUUGCUAUAGUAUUAUCAAGUUGUUGGACAAAUUGAAGAUCAUAAUAAUUUAGGCUCGUCUCCAAACAAUGGAUGAAUUGAUCUAAUUUCCAUGAACAAUGUACUACUUCGUUGGAUUUGAUUUAAAGUUAGCCCCGCCUUUAAAGCACGUUGCUAAUCGGCUUGUAAGUUCUAUGUUAUAUAUAUACACACACACAUCAGUCUAAGUAAAGAUCUAAGGAGUUUUAACUUAUUCCAUCGUCUGCAUGUAAUCUUGGCAAGAGGUUGUAUCCAAGUGCUGUCUUCUUCGAAAUGGGGAGAGCAAGGAUUUGAAUUGUGGAUUUAAGAUGAAACGUGAGAAGAAAUUCUUUUAGGAGCUAUUAGGUCAUCGUUAUACGUGACCAAACUUUCGCAUGCAAUUCUCAUCCUUAGUCUAAGGCCUUCUUGUCUCUAGAUAUUAUUCCGGAUUCAGUGCUCUUUAAGUAUAGCCAAGACGGUACGUAACCGUAUCAUGAAGCGUAAUGAUUUGCAUAUUUGAUAAUACAUGUUUUAAACCUACUUUAUCUAAAAACACGAUCAGAUAACUAUUCCUCUUGCAACUAUGAGAGGUUGUCAAAACCUUUUAGAAUUGUAAUGUCCUAUUUUUUCAGUGCUAUAAUUAUUGCUAAAUUGAUUUGAACAAUUAAGCUCUUGGUCUGCAUUAUUGAGUGUCUUCACUUGUGAUCGAGGACCACAUAAUUUGCCAAAACUUUUUGGUUUCAUGUCAAAAUUAAGGUAUGACAAAAUGAAAAUUGAAAAUAUGGAAAAAAAAUUUCCCGAAAAGUCUUAAAUCUAUUAUAUGGUCACUUAUUCAAUUUUAAACUUUCUAAUUUGGUUAAUGAAGUCCUAAAAUUUUUGAUGAUUUUUCAAUGUAGUCCAUUAGACUAAUUUUGAUUGGAAAUCAUUGAAAUGGCAUCUAGUCAAUGCCGAUCAUCCUCAUGGCACAACCGGUGAUAUGACGCGUACAAAUUCAUUACAAAACAUCUUCAUUUUGAGAAUUUUUUUUAACUUUUUAUUUUUAUUUCCUCAUUAUCAUCUUCCUAGAGUGUCGGUGAGGUCGUUUGGGCUUUGCAAUGGCCAACGACAGGUGAGGACCUUUUAAGCCCUUGUUGUCAAAGAGCAAGGGCUUUCAAAUCCUUGCCUAGAUGGUGAGGUCCAAGUUGUGAUAGGCGAAGGUGCUGAGGUGGUUGAAGGAGAGCCAGUCACACUUUGGCAACCUCUUCGGCAGCAUCUGCUUGUUCCUUUGGGUGAAUCCACCCCCGGUGAAGAACUUGAUUUAGAAAUAUGCAAAUCUAAGAGUAUUAAUUCGAAUUUUACCAGAAAUAAGACGACUUGUGAUUGAAUCUCUAGCUCUUUGCAUCUAAAGUGAUCCAUAAUCAAAUUUGUAAGGGUAACCUAAAGGGACUAGUCAUGCUGAUAAAUGAGUGGACUUUCGUGUCUCUUGAAACAUGAUGAUUCAAGUUAUUGAUGAGUUUUUUUGAACAUUUACAAAAAUAAAUGUUCAAGUGUCUAGUUGGAGAAUAGGAUUUGUACACUGUUCGACCAAUCAAUUAUAACUUUCAAUAAGAGAAAAGUCAUGAGAUCCAUAAUAUCAAAUCGGAAAGGCUUUUUAAAAUUCCAUACUAUAUUCCGAGGACCCUCGAGGUUGUUUUUGGCCUCGAAAUUAAUCAAUUUCAUGCAUUAGGACCAUUUUCUAUGUUAGUGCUAUUCUAGGAAAAUGCUUUUGGCGCAUUCGCUAUUUAUUGAGUUAACUUUGAAUUUUAGUUUCUAAUUCGGGUUGAUUAGGAGCAUAUCUAUGAAAGGAAGCAAUCCAUCCUUGCACCCAUUAUCUAUAUUAUAUGGAUCCACUAUGAGGCAACUAACCCCUGAAAGAAAUUCCAACUUAGAAUAUUUUAUAGACCAAAGUCAUCAAAGUCUAGAUUUUGAAAUUCCAACCCCUGAUUAACGUGUUAAUCCAUCCGAGAACACGUUAAUCAGAAGUUUAUCACCACUAAAUUGCAUGAGAUUUUGACUGACGGCUCGUCAAUGACCACUUAAACAGCUCUGAAAUUUCCACACCCGCUUUUUGCCUUGUCGGUUCAAAAGGAACCCGUCUCUGGAAUGCAUAACCCGCGGUUCAAUGCAUAAUCCUCGAUUAACAGUAUGGUCUGUCACCAUCACCAUUUUGAAGAAUAUAAUAAGAUGUCGUAACAAAAUUGGUACACGACCGUUUCAGCCCACCAAAAAGAAAAAUUAAAAAAAUAAAAUAAUGGGAUGGUUGGUUGGUCAAAGGGGUUUGUAAAACGUGGCACUUUGCGAAAUCCAGGUUCAAUGUUGCUCCUUUUAUUAAUUUUAUUAUUAUUUGGAUGAACCUUUAUUAAAUCAAAUUUGGACAAUGAGAUAAUAUAUAGGUUCGGUUCCUUGAAUUUAGGUGGUUAGCCUGGAACACAAAUGUUUAGUGAAGCAAAUUUGUUAGAGGAAAAUUAUCAAGCGAACUAUAACUUCUAAGAUCUAAAUGUUUGGGAGGAAACUCAACAAAAUUAGACAAAAGUACUUUUCGAUAAAUAACUACCCAUUUAAUUUUAAAAAGAUAUUCUUGACAAAGCAUUUGUCGUUGGAAAUAUGAUCAACGAUCUCUUUAAAAAGGAAAAAGAAAAAUGAAACUCCAAAAUAAAAAAGGAUGAUGCUUGGCAUGAAUUGAAAAUUAUAGACGAUAUUUCUAUAUUAUGUUAUAUCACAAGUAAUGAGUGAGCAUUUACACGAGUAGAUCAACUUUGAUAUUUAAAUUGAGUCUUAUAUGUCACAUAAAUGAUCAAACUUGUAAACUAUUAUUAGCAUACGCAGCUUUAUUAAAUAAAAGAAAUGAAGUUACAACUUUUUUAGGGCAAUCAUUGAGUAGCCAAAUAAAGCAAUCGUACAAUUCCGAUAAAAUGGCUGAUCUUGUAUUAUAUAAGAUCGACACUUUGAUGGUUGAAUUAUUCUAAACUAGAUCUUAUUAACAAGUAUCCCAGCGACAUUAGUUAAAGUAUUUAAAAUUAACAAAAACCUAUAUCAACCAAUUCUGAAAAUUGAAGAGGUAUAUAUUUUAAAAAAGGCGACACUCUUUUGAUAGAAAUGUUUAUAUUUUCAAAGCACAAUUGAUGAUCCUUAACAAAUGUCUCCCGUUUUUUUUUUUUUUUGGUUGGAAAUGUCCCCCGUUUGCCAAGCGUUCUCAAGAUGGUGGUUAAUACGAAUUUUCUUUUAAGCAUUGCGAUUUGGAUUUGUUUUAUUUUUCUUAUUUUCUUAGGCAUUAGUCAAUGAAGAUGUUAAUGGGGUUUUAACUUUAAAGACAAGAUUAGCCAAACCACGGCUGGAGUCAGAAUUGAGCUUCGGAGGUUGAAGUCGACACAAAAGCAGUUUUUGUCGUUUAGUGCAGCAAGAGAAGCGUGCGGUGCAGAUGAGCAGGUCAACUUGGACAACUUUUCGAGUGGAUACGAUGGAGUGGUCAAAUUUUGUUCUCCCCAAACACGGACAAGAGCUGUUUCCUGUGAAUGUUCAAUGCACUAGAUACAUCUUGAGCACAGACGUGAAAAAUUGACCAAAAUCAAUUGAUGAGACGGAAGUUUCCUCAGUUAUCGACGUGAUUUAGUCAUUUCUUUAAAUAUUAAUUUUAAUUCGGGAGAAAUUUGGAAUGACGGUAAUUCCAUGCAAUGUUGAAGGAGUCUUUUUAUCAACCCAUAAGAGUUUAAUCAAGGACUUUUAUUUGGUACUCAAUCUUUUAAUUGGAUGAUAGCCAUGAGAUGGGCUUGCAUAAAAUGAACCAGUUACCACAAGAAUAUGCAAUCCGAUAAAAAAGACGACCAUCCCAUAACUUAACUUUGUAUUAUUCACACUGUCCUUUUGAAUGGAUAAACUGAAAAUGCUCGAAUUUGAGAGGAUCGCUAUUAGUUUUAUGGUCUUUGCUUAGGUUUUUGCAUUUUUUUUUUCAUUGGCUAAUUUAAAUACUUUAAUUGCCCAACCGUUUACACUUUUUUGAUAAAAUAAAAGGUCUGUGAUUUUUCAGGAUAUACCAAAAGAGGAAGUCUAACAUUUAGAUCUCCCCGUUCCUUUUUAUUUGCUUCAUUAACUACAAGACGAUCGGACAUUAAACUUCAAUACAAGACCAUAUCCCAUUUCCAAACUAUAUGCGAGAGACAAAUUCGAGAAUUCACAUUAUUUUUUAUAAUUUGAUAGCAAUCCUCUAAUGCUCCAAGCUAGCAACUGUUAUUAGUAAAACAAUCCUUUCUCUUUUUAAAUCAAGGAUAGAUAACUUUAGUAGAUAAAAGGGAAAAUGACACAAAUAUAUUAAAUUUUUGCGCAUGAAAAUCACACCCUAGCACUACUACUCUUCCCAUACCUGUCCACAAAUUCGAACUUUAUAUGGCUAAUUAUUUCAUAAUGAAAAUAUAAAUGCCCCGAGUUCAAUACUAUCACAGCUGGUGUGUCAAUAAUAUUGUCCACACUUCUAGUUGAUCAAAGGAAAACUCGAGAUAUUAUAGAUUUCCGGAUAGUUAAGUCUUUCAUUUGUGAAGAUAUGUCAUUAGGCUGCAAAUAAGUGAAGAUAAAUUCGUCUUCUUUGGCACCCAAAUUGCAAUUCAAAUUUGUUAAGUGAAGGAUUAAAUUCAUUGGAUUUCUUAGCUACAAUGCCCACUUUAUCAUGUGUAUCUAACAUCACGCCCAAAUACAUUUCUCAGUGCAACAUGUACCAUGUUUAAUGAACAAAACUUAGAAAAAGUAAAAAGAAUGAUAUAUACGUGAUUAGUGAGGACCCACUGAUCGAAUGAUUCAUAUAUUUUAGUUGUCCACUAGAUUUAUGUAGCAUAUAACUAAUAAAAAUUAUCCAAAACGACAAUACUCCAUUCAGGUUGUGAGGAAUCAAUGAGACGAAUCACAUCAAUUUGACGAAAAAGAACAGGAAAUUUCCAAUCGAAAAGGGCAAAAGAGCAAAGUGACCUGCAAAUGGGUAGCUUUUUUUCCAAAUUAUCAAAUGCCAAGUUGUUAGGAAAAUAAAGCACUACCGACAAUGUGGCCAAUAGGAAAAGAGAGAGAGAGAGAGAGAGAGAGAGAGAGAGAGAGAGAGAGAGAGAGAGAGAGAAAAGAAAAGAUCAACAACAUAAUUUUCUUGAUUUUUAUUUGCCCCCAUAGACAUCUAAAUUUUCUCAAAUUAUCCCCUACGGGACCCUCAGGCCCAUCCCAUGAAUAUUCACAAACAUCAAGAAUGAUGUUUGGUGGUGGUACUGUGCGGUCAUAUUCUUCCGAUUCAGACAGAACAGCAACUAGCAUGCACCAACAAGGAGACAAUCUUUUGUAGUUCCCCUACUCAACUUGCUCCUGUUCUUCUAGAACGUGGCCGAUCUCCAAAAGAACUAUAACAGCACAAGAUAGCACGACAGACGAUGGGUUCCAUACUAAGCCACCUCAAGAUAAAUUUCUUGGGACCAAGAUCCAAGAUUUUCCAAUGUUUUGGUUAAUUCAGGAAGUAGAAUUCAGUCGACCAAUCUCGUUGGAUUUACAGGUCUUAGAUGUGGGCAUCAAGGUCACGCAGAAAUGUUAAGGAAAGGAAGAGGCAACAUUAGGGUUUUGGGGUUUGUCAAAGAUGGAGGGUUCAAAAGAGCUGACAUUGUCAGGGGAGGGGGAACGGAACAAGGGUCACGGAUGUAAAGUGCAUGCAUCUGCAAUUCUUGAUACAACAAGAAAAGAAAAAUGCAUUAUGUGCAUUCAACGAUAGGGCAUUUGUCAUGAAAUGCAGGUGAUUUUUGAAGAUGUCCAUGAGUAUGGGCUAGAGUCAGAGAAACCCUCCUCACCAUAGCCCAAGUUGAGCCCUUUUUUUUUGGGAGGGGAGAGCAUAAUUCCCAGUCGAGCCUUCGUUCUAACGGAGAAAGGUGAGAAUUCUGACCACAUCCGCAUCAUUGAAAUAAUUAACGAUUAAUAAUAUGAUUCAUUUAUCAAGAUAAAAAAUUGGGUACAUAUCAAUGUGUAAAUUUCACUCGGGUAAUAAUUUUUCUUCAUGUCGUGAGUAUAUCCAAUGAAAGUCCAGAAGACUUUGCUCUAGCCUUUAAUUGAUUGAUCAACACCAGCUGUAAAACAAUUUUUUUACCACUAGACAAAUUGUAGACCUUAAUUACCAAGCAACGCGUGAUGGGCGAUCAUUCUCGAUCAAAGUGCUUAUUUUCUUCCAGUCAGCAUCUCCACAAAAAUACAAUGCGUCAGCAUCGUGUUGAUCGACUUGGCACCUCGAUUCUCGAAUCAUGGGUUACAUUCAGUCCCCUCUACUCCUCAGACAAUAAAGCAAAUGCUGUCGACUUAUUACAACCAGUCCACCCGACUUUGUCCUUGGAACACGCAAAUCUUGACGUUUUAUAGCCUCAACAUGGCAACUACGCGAUAAAGAUGUAGGAUCAAGUAGGUUAUCAUUGUGGAUUUUUGCCCACAGAAGAUUCUACACCUAAAUUACACUCAAGUUGAUGGACUAUUGAAGAUCAUAACAAUUCAUGCUAGUCUCAAAAAGGUGGAUCGAUUGAUCUAAUUUUCAUGAGCUGAAUUGAGCUUUGGUUGAUUUGAUUUAAAGUUCUAAUUGACCAUUUAUGAGUUUUGAAAUCAAAUUAAUCUUACCCCACAUUAAAAGCACGUCACUCACUGAUCUCAAAGUUCUAUGUUAUAUUUCACCAUUCUAAGUAAAAAUUUAAGGAAGAGUCUAAUUUAUCCUGACGUCUACAUGUAAUCUUGGCCAAGAGGUUGUUGCCCGAGUGGUAUUUUCUUUGAAUUGGGGGUGAUCAAGGAAUUGAAUAGUGGAUUUCAAGAUGGUGCAUGAGAAGGAAUUCUUUUAGGAGCCAUUAGGUCAUUGUUAUAUGUAUCAAAAUCUUUGUGUACAUCUUCAUUUUCAUCCUAAGGUCUUUUUGUGUCUCUAGAUGUUAUCUUGUAUUCAAUGUUCAUUAGGUUGUAUAACUAUGACUGUGUUUAACUAUAUCAUGAAGUGUUAUGAUUUGCAUAUUUUAUAACAAAUGGUUUAAUACACAUAUUUAUUUGAACAGCCAAGGUGUAGAAGAGCAAUUAGCGUGGCUAUCUUUGUUCAGUGAUAUCAAGACGGUUUUAUGCCCAUUUUAGAAUGUUUGGAUUUCAUACCGACUUGGUUUGGAAAGAUGCAAAACUUAGAAUAUUAAUUAAAAUUUUACCAAAUAUAAGAGGAGGUUGUGAAUAAAUCUCAAGUACUUUGUAUUUAGAAUGAUUAAGUACCAACUUUGUCAAAAGUUGAAGAAAAGUAAAAUCGACCUAAAGGAAAGUGGAAUUUGCACGCCUCUAAAGCGUGAUGUUACAGGUUGUUAAUUGGUUUUUCGAGCUUUCAGAAAGAUAGAUAUCAUUGAGUUUGCAAAUGCAAUUUGCACAUUGUUCAACUAGGGAAUAUGACAUUUGAUUAGAGAAGACUUAGGAGAUCCACAUUAUCAAUCCACAAAACUCCUUCGGACUUCUAUAUUAUGGCCUCGAGGGGAUCUUUUGAGGUCAUUUUUGGCCGUAAAAUCAAUCAAUUUCUUGUUAUUUCACGACUAGUUGUUCAUUUUCGGGCUAUUUUUAGGCAAAGGUUUUUGCUGUGUAUUCAAUCAAUUUCGAAUUUUAAUUUCUAUAUAAUUACUAGACUGUCGAUGAAAGGAAGCGAUCCAUCCAUGCAUCCACUUUGUACAUUAUACCGUAUCUGUCAUCAGGCAACUAAAGCAAUACCGACUUGGAUUAUCUUUUAAACCAAAGUCAUAAAAGUUUAGAUGGAUAUACUACGUUAAUCAGAAGUUUAUGCGAAGAUUAAUGACGAAUCCACGACUCAUCAUCGUCGUCAUCAUUAUCAUCUCUUCCUCCUCAAAGUCUACUGAAUAAUGCUGUCAAAUUUCCACUUCCGCUUUUGCCCGGUUGACAAAUUGCUACGCAUGGUUCAAUGCAUAAUCCUCGAUUGAGAGUCCUGAAUGAACCUAUCCAAUUUAAAAAGGGAGCUAAUGGGUUUGUCACCAUCUCCAAUUUUUUGAAGAAUAUAAUAAGAUGUUGUGACAAAAUCGGCACACGACAGUUUCCGUCUACCAAAAAAGAAAAUUUUAAAAAUAAUGGGAUGGUAGAUUAAUCAAAGGUUUUGUUUAAACAUGGUAAUUUACGGAAUCCAGGUUCAAUGUCGUUCCUUUUUCUUUAAACUUUAGUAUUUGGACGACCCUUUAUUGAUUCGAAUUUGGACAACUAGAUAAGAUAUGUAUGUUCGAUUCCUUGAAUCUAGGGUUAGCCUGCAUAAACAAAUGCAGAUUGCCCAUGAUCCUGUGGACAUUUAGCUUGAAGGAUUUCUCUUCCAUUCCCAUGGAAUGUUCAUUGCACCGGCAUCUCUUUUUAUGGUUUGCGUUGUAUUCAUGUGGAGAUAGAAACGAAUGUUGGUGGGAGUUGGUAAGUUGACAAUUGGACUUCUCUUUUGGAGGGCUUGUCGCGGACGGUCGAAUAGCAACUCGAUUACAUUCCAUUUUCACAUAGAAUUUGAUAUUAAAUAUAAAGAUAUUUUACUAAUUGAGACAUCAUAAAUAUAUAUUCUAUAUACGUACAUAUGAUCCUGUGGUUGAUCAUUAUGGAUGCAUUUGAACGAAUAGACUUUCAUAUCGAAAAGAACAAAACCAGAUAAGAUAAAAUUUUCUGUGUCACAUAUGAUUUUUGAUAAAUAGAUACAACAAUGCAUAUAGAUGUAAACUACCUUGCAUCCGUGAGAUCAAAUUAAGCAGAUAAACAAGCUGACGUGAUUCAAAGAAAGAAAGAUCUCGUGAGACCGACACUAUUCAUUGAACUAUGGUCAAGCCACAGAUGAACUGCCUGGCAUCUGUGCGACUGUCCCAAGGUGGUUGCUUGAGGACAUGACGAGGUGAUCAUGAUUUUCUAAAUUGAGAAUCCGCCGCUUGCACACCAAGAAACAUUAACCUAUUUAUAUAACUUUUAUUUCUUACUUUUCACAAUAUCCAAAUCUUAAAACUCACAUACUUUCGACUUCUUUUCAGGAGAAAAAAAACCCCAAAUGGCUAAAACUUUCAUGGCAGUCAAAUUGUAACAUGUAGAUUCACUAAUGAGUUUAUUCAUAAUUUUCUGAAAUUUAAAUAAUAUUUUUAAGUUUCGGCGCAAAAGUAUGGUGUUCCAAAUCUCCCCACCUGUUGAGGUAAAGGAUCGGCCCAUUUUUUUUUUUCUGAGAGGAUGUAGCUCCUCUUUGUAUUAGUGUUUCUAAAUGGGUUUACAAUUGAUGGUAUAUAACGUGGUGGAAUUCCCCUUUUUCUCACGGACUGAACUCAAUGCGAAAAACAAGAAGAGUUAAAUGAGAAUUCCGUGAGCAAUGAUCGCAUCAUGGGAUGCGGCGCACAAGGCCCAUUACGGCCCAUGGUAACGGCACAGCCCGUUCCGUCGGCUAUUCUAAAACUCAGAAUAUGCAAUAAACUGGCCAAUUACCAUAUCUGACACAAAUUCGUUUCGCAAAAAAAUAUUUUCCGGAAAAAAUUUCUUUAAAUGAUUUCUUCUCUAAAAAUUGGAUAUCAUUUUUCAAUUUACAUAAACUUUUGGACUAGAAACUUUGUGUUUGGACGUAGGAAUUCACUCCUAGGCCCUUGGCAGUGGGACCGGGUCUAUUGAGAGCAAGCUUGGGUCCAUUGAGGCAGGGCCUAGGACCCCGACGCUUGGGCCCCAGUCCAUUGAGGUUGCACCUUGGAUUCCCAUGCUUGUGCCCAUGACCCUGAAGUCCCUGCCCGGGUCCAUCUAAGUCGAGCCUAAGUACAUCAAGGCUAGGCUAGGACCCCCAUUCAUGGACUCAGUCCUCAAUGCCGGCUCCCUGAUUUGUUGAAGCCCAAACACUUAGGAUCGGGUUCUUAAAGCUUGUGCCCGGCUCCCUAAGGCUUGAGCCCUAGUCCAUUGAGGUCAAGCUUGGCUUCUUGGUGCCCACUUUGAGGUCCAUUGAGGUUGGGCUUGGGACCCCGAUGCCUAUGCCUAGGUUCCUAGCACCCUAGCCUGAGUUCAUUGAAAUUGGGCUUGAGACCUUGGUGCCCGUGCUUGGGUCCAUCGAAGCCGAGCCUAGGACCCUGGCGCACGUGUUCGAGCUCCCAAUGCUAGGCCCAAUACUUAAGGCCCCUACUUGGAUCUCCAGUCCAUGAGCUUGGGACCAUCAAUGUUAGGCUCGGGUCUAUGAAGGUUAAGCCUAGGACCCUAGUGCCAUUGCCUGGAUCCUCACCACUACUGUUGGGGUCUUAACCUUGCCUCAAUGGACUCGUGUCCUAUGCACAAGGGACCUCCUUGGCAUCAAGGCUCGAGGACAGCUUCAGUGGACCUAGGCAUGGGUGUCAGGUCGAGCUUCGAUGGACUUGGGCAUGGGUGUUAAGUACCCGGCCUAGGCCUUUUUGAACCAUAAAGCAAUCAAUUUUAUUGCUUGGAGUGGGAAUUCGGAUUAAGCAAUAUGACAUUAUAUAUAAGUGAUCUGAACUGCGAUAUGUUCUAAUCUAGUUAUAAUGGAGAACUUUUAUAGAUAUCAAUUAGUCAAAAUAUUCUGAUCGAUUGCUGGAAUGAUCAAGAAAUUGUAUAGAAUAGAGACUAGAAAAUUUGCGAGAUUGCAGCCCAUGAUCAAAUUGUCCUCCUUAAUCCAAUUAUAAUUGGUUUGAGCAUUAUUGCAUCGCGUUCAUUCCCACCUCAUCCCGCAAUCUGUUUGGGCAACAUCCUAGAGUCUGAGUAAUUUCACUCCCAUCAAAAGAUAAGUACAGGCUUCCUUCGUUUUCGAUCGCAGUCUUGGUCAUCAGCCACUCAAGAAAGUAUUAUACUCAGUCGAAGCAACAAAACUAGUGACUCACUAUACAGUCCAUGUGUAUCAUUCGCAACAUUUACUUCCCACUUUUGUUUGCGCUAAAAAAUCACCUCCUCAACAAAGAAUGGAGAUCUAAGGGGCGACCUCGACCUAAGAUUAUGGCACAAGCCCGACCAAAAUGGCUAAGCGCAAAUAAUCAGAGGUUCUGCGGGAAGAAGGAUCCAUUCCAACACCACCAUGUCCUUUGACUGGGUGAGCCAACACGCUCUUCUCGGUUUGGUGCUCUUUGAGUAGGAAUCGGAUACUCGCUUAUCGUAAUUUUUAAUGACUUUGCUUUGACCCGUCCAUUCUCGAUUACUUGUAACUGCAAUCAAUCUUGAGCAUCACUCUUCAAUGCUGGAUGAUCUUCCAUCAUCUUUGCAGUGUUCAAUACAGGUUCCAACAAUGACAACUACAAUGUCGCGUACGUGUCAAAAGACAACAAUGACAACUGCAACACCGCUUCUCCGUUCACCACCCUAAGCAACAGACUGACGGCCUUUUCUGUCGCUGCAGCUGGCGAGUAUUGCUUGCAUCUACACUUUCCUAAAGGUGUCCAUUGCUCUCGUGGCCAAAAAUUGGUGGUCACCAUCAGUGAAACUUCCAUCGGCCCAACCUCUAGUCCAGCGAGAUCUCUGUCACUACUAGACACAACCACCGGCAACACCACAACUCCACCACCACCUGGAGCCUGGAAGUGAUGCUUCAUCUCUCGAUGUCACACAACAUUGGGAUUUGGCGGCAACUUUUCUCAACAAGGUCAAGCGGCUUUUCCAAAUUUGUCACCUGAGUUCAAAAUCUCAUGAUUGUGCCGUUUUCAAACUGACAAUUCCCGUUGGCUGGUCUAUCUUUGCCAUUGCCACCAGGUACUUCUAAAGUGCAUUAAGGAUUCAGGUUCCAUGGGACAAGAAAUGGUUUCACAAUGCCAGACAAUGAUGCUUACAGCUACAACAAAUUUAUGAGCAGAAGUUGAUUAGGCCAAAAAAAAAAAAGUACACAUAUAUGUCGACCAGAAUGUUUACAGAACAAAACGAUGAAGACAACAUUCUCGAAUCCAUGACAAAUCUUUGGCUUUCAACACACCAAACCCUCUUUUAUACAUAUUAAGAACUUGUAUCCAAGUCCAGCAGCCAUGCCCCAAUCAGGGAUCACAGGCAGAGAAGCUACUUAGGGUUAAAUGAGGGGUCUAGGCAAUCAUUCAUAAAGUGUGACACCGAUAAAGAAAAUCAACAAAUGUUCCACAUAAUCAGACCUGGAUACUGAGGCAUAACAGCCUUGCAAGUCUCUUGAAGGUAAUCCUUGAGCGAUACUUCAAAACAACGAUAAUAUUCUGCAGAAAACAGAUUGAGUCACAUUUGAGUGCUGUUCCAAUGAAAAGAAGAAAAACGACAAGUUCUGUAAUUACAUGUUCAAUGAUUCUCUGAAAAGGCUCCUAGAAAGGUAGCUUGUUAUGCCAAAGAGAAGCCAAAAUUCUUCUUUUGACAAUGAUUGGGUCCUGUCUAAUUCCCAACAAGUGCCCCUGCUAGCACGUUUUCUCAUUCUCAAAUUCACCUUUGAAAGUUCUUUUAAAGAGGAGUCCGCUGGAGUCUCCAAUGUGAUCAAUUGUUUCAGCAGCAACCUACAUUAACAUAUCAAAGGUAUGGUCGACCAAAUCCUAUGGCACAUUAUUGAGAUAUUGCAAGAUAUACAAUCAAUUACCUAGCACAAUUCAAAGAUGGUACCUAAAUUGGGGAAUUUCUGAGAGAUGUUUUGCCUCUAAAGUUGCAUUAAGAAGGCUUGAUUGCAUAGGAUCAUGUGGUGAGAGAACUAAGUACCAGCAGAUUUUCCUUAGAACCUGCAUUUAAUUAAAUCACAUUACGAACAGUUCUGCCUUCAAAAACUCAGUGAAGACUUAACAAGGAAAGAGCUUCACCCAUAUCCACUGCUCUGGGUUGGGUUGCCCUUUACUGAUGGAAUCUCAUAUAGCCCCUUAUGGUAUCGACAAAUAUCAAGGCAAUCAUUGUUAUGUGAGUAAUACCUACAUUGUUAUCCACAUAAAUGUGAGGUAACCUGAGAUGGGAGUUCAAAUCCAUCAAGUACAUUUGGAACAUCAGAGUUUGGGAUACAACUAGAAAGAAAAAAGAGUGUGUGCCAGAUAUAUAAAGCCAUACAAGUUCAUGGUGAACCACAACCCGAUACCAGGUGGCAUUUGAUCAGCAAAAACAAAUUAGUCAAAGAUAGUGGACACAACAUUCGAAAAGCAAAACACCAAUUUACCAUAUCAUGAGUCAUCGCCUAUCCGUUUCAACUCCAGAAGAGAUGGAAUAUCAGCUGACGCUUGCUCCACGAUGUUUUCACCUUCUUUAGACUUUUUCUUUUCUAUGGAAGGAUCUGCAUCAAACACUCGGGAGUUGACCUUCCUGGAAAUGAUACGUGCACAGACAUAACCCUUACACAGAUGAACCUGCAAAAUCCAUCAGUCAGAAAACCAAUCAUACUAAUAAUGCAUGAAUGGCUAAAAGCAAUACAAAAGACCCGCACUUGUUAAAAAAUAAAGGCAAUUUUCUCCGUCUUUGCCUUUGCUCCAAAAGUUCCUACCUGCAUUUCAAACCGUCAUAGGAAUGUAGGAUAAGGGAAAACCAAUUACAAGAUCAGUGAGAAUAGAAGUCAACUUCUAGUUACCCACAUUUCUUGCAUCAAAUCAGUAAUGCUAGAAGACCCUGUUUUUCCUUUAUUUUUGCAAGUUUCUUGAACAAUCAUGCUCUCUCAAUUUCAAAAUAUAACUACAUUACGAAACUAGCUACAGAAAUCAUGAAAUAAAAGCAGAUUGCUGAUGAACAUAAGCUGCACCAGAGUUUGAUUUCACAUAUUCAUCUUCCCAGUGGCAACAAAGUUAAGUGUCUUAAUAAGCUUUAUCUUGGUCUCAAGAUCAAGUGUCUAGUCAACAUAUUGCACAGCUUGCUGCACCAUUGCUGUUGCAGCCUAUCAUGACAAAGAUGCGACACAUAGGUCACUAUCCAAUCGAGUCAAUGACUUGAUUACGUCUAGAUCACCAUUAAAACUUUGAUUUGAACUAUUUGAUUAACAGCAUGGAAAAUUUGUCACUCUAGAAUGAUAAUAUUGUCAAAAGAGGAACCAAAAGGGACAAUAGCAAGGUACAAUACAAAUAUAGGUAUCUCUAUGAAGAGGAUCCCCGCCACUUGAAAACUUGAAAACAAUAUAAGAUCCCCAUAAAGGAUAUGUCAUUAAAUGUAUCCUGAACUAGACAUGAAAAAGAAGUAAUGCGAUUCAUAAAUGAAUAGGCGAAGAAAAAGUAAAAAUUUGGGGCAAUCAUGGGAGAGAAUCUAGAGACAGAAGGUGAGAAAUCGAAGAGGAUUCUACAAUAUUAGAUUCUAGAGCACAAGCACCAAGCCUAAGAUCUUGCAUCCCAACAGAUUUCCUAGAGCCAAUUACCAUGUCGAUAUGCCAAGCACAUUCCUUUUUUAAAUAGUUCUACAUAGAUGGCAUGUCACAGCUACAUGAAACAACAUUUCAUGAUUGCACACAAAUGGGAGGCAAUCCCUGCAAUAUAAAAUCUAACCCUUAAGCUUAAGGCUGUUAAGAUUGAUCUGAAAAUGAUUGAAAUUGGACUUUGGAUCAAUGAUCAUAAGACUACAGAAAAUUAAGGUCUAAAAGUGAUAGAUUCUUUAUCUUUUCUUCUACACUAACACCUGUAUGUUGUCUUUGAAAAAAGGGAAUGAAGUUGAAAAGUAGAAGAUAAAAGCAAGAGCAUCACCAUAGCAGAAGUAGAUCAAUGAAGAAACUCUCAUGCCUAUUAGAGAAAGUCAACUAGAGAAGCAUCUGGGGCAUGAGUAAAGAAGAGAAAAAAACAAACGCAAAACCAGAUAAUGGCAAUGAAAAGAAGAAGAGAGGAGGAUGAAAAAAAUAGAAAAGGCAAAGAGGUAUUUGCUACUAUGUAAAAAAGAAUUCCGUUCCCAACCAGGAAAGAUGGCUGCAGUACAAAGGUGUUGGUAUUGUGCUACAUUGCUGUCUGUGGACACACAGUAGACCUUUCAUUUACCCCAAUCCAAGUUCUCAUGAAGGUAGAGCCCACUUCCAACUCCACCAAUAAAAGGUUAUUCUUACAUCAGAGAAAAGCUUAUGGAUUCUCCCAAGUCUGUACAGAAAGUAUAUUCAGCCUUGCCACCACCAACAAUUAACCUUCCAUGCAAUCUAAUUCAGAUGAGGGCAACAUCUCAUUCUUAAUUGAUAAUCCCCUUAUAGUUCAAACCCAAAGUUAGCCCUGAUUAGUAGUUUUNNNNNNNNNNNNNNNNNNNNNNNNNNNNNNNNNNNNNNNNNNNNNNNNNNNNNNNNNNNNNNNNNNNNNNNNNNNNNNNNNNNNNNNNNNNNNNNNNNNNNNNNNNNNNNNNNNNNNNNNNNNNNNNNNNNNNNNNNNNNNNNNNNNNNNNNNNNNNNNNNNNNNNNNNNNNNNNNNNNNNNNNNNNNNNNNNNNNNNNNNNNNNNNNNNNNNNNNNNNNNNNNNNNNNNNNNNNNNNNNNNNNNNNNNNNNNNNNNNNNNNNNNNNNNNNNNNNNNNNNNNNNNNNNNNNNNNNNNNNNNNNNNNNNNNNNNNNNNNNNNNNNNNNNNNNNNNNNNNNNNNNNNNNNNNNNNNNNNNNNNNNNNNNNNNNNNNNNNNNNNNNNNAAAGGUAAAUAAUUGGACAUAGGUUAACGUCGACGACCCCAUUCACUCCUAAAAAUGAGUGUAAGAUAUUUCUUUUAGUACAACAAAGUUUGCGAGCAACUAAAUACAAGAAUAACAAUUUAACAUGUAUGAAUGUCCAAGUAUCAGCGUCAUCAAGUACCUGCCAACAUGACACAUGUGUUCAUGCAAGGGAGAAACUCCAGAGCACACCCUAAUUGCAAUGGAGAGGCACAACUCAUAAUCAUAGUUCAUAUUUAAUUGAUUGUAUAAUAGUUUGUCAGAGGGUAGACGAACAUCAAUCCCUGAAUUAGCAUUACCAAUCACUCCCUGGUAGUCAAUCUCAAUUUAUUUUCUCCUUGGUUUCUUUGUUAUUCAAGAAGUAUACUAAGUAAGGCAACGAGGAAAUACCUAUCCAUCUCCAUAAAAGAUAAUGCGAACCCCAAAAGUAAAUCUACUAAGCAAAACAAAAAACAAAGAGGAGCCCCAACUCCUGACUUCACUAAACCCUAAAAUGGCGAUAAAACAAAAUAAAACUACUUGACUAAGACAAAGCGCCUUUUUCUCUUUGUCAUCAUAGACUAAGGAAAUUAUCUAAUUUUUCAACCCUUCACUCCCACACGUUUAACUUCAAUUCCAAACGGAGGGUGGGCCCAUCUUGUAAAAGUACAAGUUAAAAGUAUUUUCCUAGAUAGUACCCCAAACAACAAUGUCCAGCUUAUCCACAGAACUUUGUGCACUACUUUCCUACUCAGCUCAUCCACAUGCCACAGCUACUGACUCCUACCUAUUGAGUUCAGUGUCUCCUCCAAAGCUAAGCGGUCAGGUGCUGAAGACUCACUGAUAUCCUGCCAGAAAGGAUAUCUCCGCAGGCUAAUCUCUUCGCUUUAUUACAUAUCUCUCUGUAUACACAUACAGAGGUGCCACCAUUAAACUUCCACAAGAAUAUCAACCCCAACCUUCCUUCCAUCAUCAUUCAAGAAAAAAGAGAAAGAAGAACUACCCACAUAGGCAAAUCAAGCAUUGAAAUUGGAAGGGCAAGCUCGAGGAAUCGGCACAAAAGUCCGCGAGUGCCAUCGCUUCGAAGCCCCUCUUCUUCUUUCUAUAAUUGGUCCUUUCCAUCAGAUCUAUCGCAGUACACUAGACGAACAGAAACAUCACCAAGAACACCUGAAAAUCGGGGGAAAUAUGUUGGAAAAGCCAUCAAUUCCCUAUGACAAAAGAAAAGCAAUCAAUGUCAUCAUGGCACAAAGUAAAUGCUAAUGAGUCACCACAAAAGAGUAUAUUGUCGUCAUGGUGAUUUCAGCAGCCCCGCUCCCAAGCAACAGUCCCAAGAAGACCUAGAAGGCCACCGCUAGGAAACUGAACACCGCCAUCUGAACUGUUUGCAAUUGCAAAUUUACAACAUGAGAUCAAUCGACUCUAAACUUCAAAUGCGAUCGAUCGAUCAUUUGCAUCACGCCCUACACAUUUACUACUGAGAAAACUAAAAUCUCCAAUCCCAACAAUCGAUGAGCUCGCGCGCUGGAGCGACGUGGUUCUAAAAUGCAUAUGAAGCUGAGAGACCACAGGAAAGACGUGUGCGUGCGUUUACCUGGAGUGGACGGAGAGGGCGUUGCCAGCCGUGGCAUCACCUCGUCGCCGUCACCGUCGUCAUCUCCACCGCGCUGACCGACCUACCCGCCUACCUGCGGUGGAUUGGCUGUGCGAACGGUGGCUUUGAUCUUUGGGCCUGGGAAACCAGCAGAGCGACUGACUAGUAGCGACUUAGAGAGAGAGAGAGAGAGAGAGAGAGAGAGAGAGAGAGAGAGAGAGAGAGAGAUUCCAUGGACAUCGAGCCCUUGUUCUCUUUUGCCCCCCCGUAGCGCUUGACGUUUGCUAACGGCUGAAUAUUAAGGCCCAGGGGUGCAUGAUAAAAAUUAUUUCCGGAACAGAAAUGAUUUUUCUGUUCCAGACCAAUUUCUGGAACAGAAACUUGUUUGAUAACGCUUAUCAAAUUUUCUAUUUCUGGAAUAGAUUUCUAUUCCAUAAAUAGAAAUUCUGAUUUCUCCUCACCUAAUUUCACUCUUCUCCCUCGUACACCUCUUCUCUGCCUCCUCCUCUGCCUCUUCUCUACCUCCUCCUCCUCCUCCGCCUCUCCGCCUCUCCUCCGCCUCUGCACUGACGCCCUCCGCCUCUCCUCCGCCUCUGCACCGACGCCCUCCGCCUCUUCUCUGCACCCCUGCCACUCGUUCCCCUGCGAAGCCAGAAGCCCUCAACAGAUCCGAGCACCGACGCCCUCCGCCUCUUCUCUGCACCCCCGCCGCUCGUUCCCCUGAGGCCAGAAGCCCUCAACAGAUCCGAGCACCGACGCCCUCCGCCUCUUCUCUGCACCCCCGCCGCUCGUUCCCCUGCGAAGCCGAAGCCCUCUGCAACAGAUCCGAGCACCGACGCCCUCCGCCUCUUCUCUGCACCCCCGCCGCUCGUUCCCCUGCGAAGCUAGAAGCCCUCAACAGAUCCGAGCACCGACGCCCUCCGCCUCUUCUCUGCACCCCCGCCGCUCGUUCCCCUGCGAAGCCGAAGNNNNNNNNNNNNNNNNNNNNNNNNNNNNNNNNNNNNNNNNNNNNNNNNNNNNNNNNNNNNNNNNNNNNNNNNNNNNNNNNNNNNNNNNNNNNNNNNNNNNNNNNNNNNNNNNNNNNNNNNNNNNNNNNNNNNNNNNNNNNNNNNNNNNNNNNNNNNNNNNNNNNNNNNNNNNNNNNNNNNNNNNNNNNNNNNNNNNNNNNNNNNNNNNNNNNNNNNNNNNNNNNNNNNNNNNNNNNNNNNNNNNNNNNNNNNNNNNNNNNNNNNNNNNNNNNNNNNNNNNNNNNNNNNNNNNNNNNNNNNNNNNNNNNNNNNNNNNNNNNNNNNNNNNNNNNNNNNNNNNNNNNNNNNNNNNNNNNNNNNNNNNNNNNNNNNNNNNNNNNNNNNNNNNNNNNNNNNNNNNNNNNCCAAGCCAAGUUCUCUCAUGCUGUGUACACAUAAACUUAGACAUGUCGAGUCGAUCAUUCCAGAGAUCCGCAAAAUCUAAUAUAGAAAGAUCGCAAGUGUCUCAACUCUGACAAGUUCGUCAAGGACUUUCAAUUUUCCACAAGAACUAAUAUGAAGCGUUGAUAGUCCAAUGGGAAGCUCUGGGACACAUUCAAGCUGAUGGCAACAGUGAAGAUAGAGUUUCUUGAGACGGGUUAGUUGGGAGAGAUGGGGCAAAGAUUGCCUCUCACUGGUGAUCCCUAGUUCCCUUAAGCCAGAGGGCAAUUCUAGUAAUUCUUGAAGAUUUACACAUUCACUAAAGUGGAGCACCUCUAGCGAAACAUAUUUGCAUAUAUUACUAGGUAGUCGCUCCAGAUAUUCACAACCUUAAGCUUCCAACUUUUGUAGUUUUGCCAACAUCCCAAUGUCAUCAGACAAUUCUGUUAUGCUAGUUCCAAUAAUAUGUAAGACCUUCAAAUUUUGCAAAUUUCCAAUACUUUUAGGCAAUUUCGUGAUCGAUGUCCAUGUUAAGUUAAGCUUGAUCAAUGAUGCCAAAUUUGUAAUAGAAGGAUGAAGCUCUUUUAGAUUCUCACAAUAUUUAAGACUCAAAAUCUCCAAACUUUUGAAAGUGGACAAGUCAGGAGUUCUUUUCAAAAAUCGACACCACUUGAGAUUGAGAACUUUGAGCUCGGUCGCCAUCUAGAAGAAAGAAAGGAUACGUCAGUGUAAUUGGACUGUCACAACCCGUGAUUUUUUGCUACUCCUUAUGUUUUUGACCUUUUAGAAUUCCUCAAAAAUUACCCGUGUUCCUCUACUCCUUCACAAUUGUCCUAUUUAAUUUUAAAUGUCUCCUUUAGUAGUGUUUGGUCACGACAAUAGAUAAAUGUCUUUUAAACAUAUUGAUUGCAAAAGAAUGUUAGGGUGUACAAGUGCUAACUGCAUUUAUUUCCGAAUAACAUUUUAAAGGAGAUAUUUGCUUAUUAGACGUUAGCAACUUAUAUCAUAAAAAAAGAAUAUGAAAAAUCCAAAUGAAAGAGAGAUGCAAUCAUUGGGCACCGAGUUUUCCUUUAAUACUAUGAAAUUAAAUAGAAAUGGCUAGUUCAAUUAUGAAAAUCAAUUUUCAAAUGUUAUAUGUACAAGGAAAAAAAUGUUAAGUUAAAAAAAAAAAAAAUCCUUCGAUGCCUUUUUUAUAUAUUACCUUGAGUGGAACCCAUCCUCCCCAGUCCUCUGAAAUUGCACUGUUUGACAAAUCGAGUACAACUAAUUUUUUUGGACGAAAGUUGGCCGCUAUGAAAUCAGAGGGACAGCCCUCCCACUGAAGCCACCUUAAUUCAGGAAGUAAGCUUUGGAAAUCUCCGAUGAAAUUAGCACCAUCCACUUGAAGAAACCUCAAGUUGGUCAUUUUUUUAAACUUUUUGGCUGUGUAUCUCCUUCCCUUACCACAUUUGCCAAGAGAAAGGGCCUCAAUCUUUCUGGUGCCCUGCAACUUGGAAACAUUAUGGACCAUAAGUUUUGAAUGAUGAGAUGAGACCAAUUGAUGUAAAAUAAAAUGCACCGAUUUCGAUUUUUGUCAUACUACUAUGACGUAGGCUUCUCCCUUUCAUUUUUGUGAAAUGAAAGGUUGUAAUUGCAUAUUAUUUAUCUAAUCUAUGUAAAGAUGAGAAGCUCAAGUGGUUGCUUCCAAACUUUUUCCUCAUCCAACUAUACCCUUUCAUAAAUUUCACCUUCUGAAUUUCCAAAAUUUGGGUCCAUUUGCAACUACAAUGGAAGGCCUCUCUUCAUGCAUAUACUAAAAUAUAUUUGUCAAAAUUCACGCUCUUUAUAUGUGAAAUAACACUUCCUUAACUCCUAUCAUGUAUAUGCGAACCAAUACAACUCUAACCAUCCAAAUGCAUCUAUCAAACUUGCCAUCAAUAUAAGUAUCAAGAUUAAAGAAUCCUGAUUGUAGAAUUUCCUCACUUUUUUGGCUUACUUUGUUUGCAAUUGUCAAUAUCAAAAUGAAAACAAGAAUGUCAUUGCAAAAAAUAUGUGUGUGAUUUACAUUCCUUUCUUAUCACGUGGUCCUUCAAUGAGGGUUUUUCAUUGUAUGUGGAAGGAAAAUUGAUAACAUCAUAUAUUCUAUACAAUGAUCCUUACUUUUCUUUUUUAUCACUACAGAUGUUUGAUGCUAUCUUUUCGUCGUAAAUAUCUAAAUUUUGAUCCAUUUUCCCAUGGAUUAAUGAGAUCUUCUGUCUGAAUAGAUUGGGCAUGAAAAUUGAUCAAAUUUGUAUUCUUAAGGAACUACGAGUCUUCUGCAUAUUUCUUUUAUUGUAACCUAAUAUUUUACAAACUCAAAUCCGUUUCUAGUUUUAGGUGACGAAUUGCACAUUGGUGGUUUCAGCUUUUCCUUCAAAAAUUUUAUUCUUUCAUAUGAAUCCCUACUCGUUUUUACAUUAAAAGUUAACUGUGUAUUUAUUGUAUUUUUGUCAACAACUUCAUAGAUACCAUUUUUUUAAAAACUUCUAAGAAAUGUUCUAUUUAGUUAAUUAUGUUUUUCUUCGUGCGAAAAUAUGCACGCUGAAAAGUAGUGGUAGCAUUUUUUUCAAUAGUUUUGGCAUAUCAUAUGUUUUGCAUCCCAUGUUUAUGUUUAUUUUUUGUUAAUUAAUGGUUUUCGUAACAUUUGCACAUGCUUGUUUGAUGCUUGUACAAAUUUUCCAUAUGUUAUAAUUGCUUUUAGUGGAUUCCUUUUUAACUUUCANNNNNNNNNNNNNNNNNNNNNNNNNNNNNNNNNNNNNNNNNNNNNNNNNNNNNNNNNNNNNNNNNNNNNNNNNNNNNNNNNNNNNNNNNNNNNNNNNNNNAUCAUUACACAAAAUUCAAACCAUAUAUACUUCGGUUAAUAAUAGCAAAAGUCCCAAACCGAUAGACUUGUUCGGCAUUUACCCCACACUAAUUUUAAUGUCAUAAAAAAGUUCCAAACUGAUAGACCCGUGUCACAUUUACCUCAAAUUAGUUUUCAUUUCACAAAAAUAAGAUAAUGUUUCUAAUGUUAACUAAAUCUUUGCUAAAUAAGAUGCUCACCAGGAAUCGAACAAUAAACAAAUUAUUAUUAUAACAUGAUAGCCUACAUUUAGCAAAUAAAUAAUAUUGGGAGAUUAAUCAAAAAAUCAUCAAUCAUCACGAAAAGAAAAGGUAUUACUAGAUUCAUAGAAAGAAACUAUCCACUAUCAUGAAAAGUAUAUACAAUGAAAAUAAUAUAUGUUUAAAGGGUUAAAUUACGAAGUUAAUCAUCCUACAUCAGCAAAUUGACGGUGCCAACUGACGAUUGACCACAAAUGACUCAAUUGCACGAAAAAGUGAAAGUUAGAAGACUAUACUGAGCAAAAGCAAAAAUAAAUGAGGGACUAAAUUGCACAACCAAUAAUAUUUAGGGGUUAAACUUACCCCAACUUAAAUAAUACACGAAACAAGAUAGCUAAAUCGUCAUAGAUGAUUGGAGGUAUCAUUUAUCAUACCAAACAAUUCAUAAGAAGCCAAAUCUAAGUGAAAGAAAAAAAUAAUUAAAAAUAGGCCUCGCAGGAAACCAAAUGACGGAUCCAAACAUCAAAAUGUGCAUCAAACAAAUAUGUGGGGAGAGUAUGGCUGCAACAAUUUAUAAAUGUCAGGUUUCUCGAAAGUAUUUGUCAAACAUUCUGCUUUUGUAGUUUUGCNNNNNNNNNNNNNNNNNNNNNNNNNNNNNNNNNNNNNNNNNNNNNNNNNNNNNNNNNNNNNNNNNNNNNNNNNNNNNNNNNNNNNNNNNNNNNNNNNNNNNNNNNNNNNNNNNNNNNNNNNNNNNNNNNNNNNNNNNNNNNNNNNNNNNNNNNNNNNNNNNNNNNNNNNNNNNNNNNNNNNNNNNNNNNNNNNNNNNNNNNNNNNNNNNNNNNNNNNNNNNNNNNNNNNNNNNNNNNNNNNNNNNNNNNNNNNNNNNNNNNNNNNNNNNNNNNNNNNNNNNNNNNNNNNNNNNNNNNNNNNNNNNNNNNNNNNNNNNNNNNNNNNNNNNNNNNNNNNNNNNNNNNNNNNNNNNNNNNNNNNNNNNNNNNNNNNNNNNNNNNNNNNNNNNNNNNNNNNNNNNNNNNNNNNNNNNNNNNNNNNNNNNNNNNNNNNNNNNNNNNNNNNNNNNNNNNNNNNNNNNNNNNNNNNNNNNNNNNNNNNNNNNNNNNNNNNNNNNNNNNNNNNNNNNNNNNNNNNNNNNNNNNNNNNNNNNNNNNNNNNNNNNNNNNNNNNNNAUGCUUCGUACUUAUUUUCACUUCUCUUGCACUUUCUUAUCAGGCACUUUCUUUAAUUUCUUUAAUGUAUCUUUCCAUACUUCUUCUCUCUUUCCAUAUAAGAAUGAACCAAUAACUUCAAGAGCUAAUGGAAGCCCUCCAGUAGUAGAUACAAUAUGAUGAGAGAUAAUCUCACAAUCACUUGAAGGAGAAUCCUUUCGAAAUGCAUGUCUACUAAAUAAAAUCAGUGAUUGAUCAAAAGACAACUCUUUGAGUUGGUACAUAUAGCCCGCCCUACCUUCAUCAAGAAUGCUUUUGUUUCUAGUUGUGAUGAUGACUAUACUUCCCGCUUCAAACCAACUACCAUCCCCGACCAAAGCACUCAAGUGCGUACAAUCAUCCAUAUCAUCUAAAAGAACAAGAACUUUCUUACUUGUAAAUCGAUAUUUUAUGACAUUGAUUCCUUCAUCGACAUUAGACACCUCACAUAAACUUCCUAUUAUGGCAGAAAUGAGUUGCUUUUGUACACACUCAAUACCCUUACGUUGAUAUGUUUCUCGGAUAUUUGCCACGAAGCUACGAUAGUCAAAUUGGCUAGAAAGUUUGUUGUAUAACACCUUUGCAAGAGUUGUCUUACCGAUGCCGCCCAUUCCAUAAAUUCCAAUAAUCCUUGUACCAUUGGAUUUGGCAUCUAUCUUGCUCAUAAUCUGUUGCACAUGAUCAUUGAUUCCCGCCAAUUGUUCGGGAACAUUUAGCUGAAAAAAUCUUUUUAACUUGCCCAUAACUUUUUUGACAACAAUAUCCACCAAUGUUCCUUCGUGCCUAUCAAGUAACAAUGAAUAUCAAUAUAGGAUAGCAAUAUGUAUAUUCUUUUUCAAGAAAUAUCUAUUUAUGAAAGAUUAAACAAUGUUUUGUUGGAGAAUAAGGUACCCGUUAUCAAUUUUCUCCGAUUCCCAUCCUUUCAAGAAGCUGACUUCUUUAAGUGCUUCUUCCCAUUCUUUCAUAACCAUUUCAUCCAUAAUCUUUUUAUGUGCAUUGAUAGCAUCUCUCAAUCUCCCUAUAGAAUGUUGCACUUGCGAGGGUUCCACUUUGUAAAAUAUGGGCAACACUAUCUGCCCUUUACUUCUCUUGCACUUCAACAUCUCAACUAGCUCGCGGAGGCACCAUUUACUUGAGGCGUAGUUCUCCGAAAUAAUUGGGAUCGAGAUCUUAGAGUUUGUAAUACUGCAGAGAAGCUCCAAACCAAUCUCCUCACCAACACGAAGCUCAUUAUCGUCUCUAAACACACAAAUUCCUGCAUGGUUAAGGUUAUGAUAGAGAUGAUCGGUGAAGCCUUUGCGAGUGUCUUCCCCUCUAAAACUCAAAAACACUUCAUAAUAAUUUCCCCUCGGAUCAGCACUGAGUAGAGAGGUGCAAAAGGACCACGGAGAGGUUGAUGAGGAAGACGCCUCAUAGAUCAGAUCUUUUGAAUUAAAGGGUUCUUUUCCUUUCAUCUCGAGAGGAUUGUAGAAGAGAUUGAUGGAGAAGGAAACAGAGAGAAAUAUGAAAUCCCAAAUUUGAGAGUAGCAACCGACCAAAAAAAAAAUCUGAGAAUAGCAAAAAUGUCUCCCAAGACUCAAACUCGGAGCUACAUUCAAACAAAAAUAGAAACUCUCAGACGACUCAUCAGAAGAAAAUAGAGCAAUCAAAGCAGGAAAUAGAGAAGUACAUGGAGCCAUCGAUUACCUUAGGAGUGGUCGAACGACAUGACCCACCCACUGUCGGGAUCUACACCGAUCGUCAGCCUUCGACGUUGGAUUACAAACACACAAACUAUCUACUGCGCGUUCUUGAACAAUGCUGAUUCUUGACUGCUAGGUGCUUAAAGAAUGAUGGUCAUUGCACUCGUAAUAUUUGCAGGAUUAUGCAGAAGUUGCGGGGAACCUUUCCAAUGGCUUCUUGACUUUUUUUUUUUUUUUGGAGCAAAUGGCUUCUUGACUUGACUUGCUUUUUUCUUUUCCUUUGGGCAAAAAAGUAAAAAAGAAAACCAACUUGCAAUAAAGAUGCUUCUAGUCCUUGCUUUUUCUUUUGUACAUGCUCGAACAAUGCUGACCACUUGACGAAUGCCGGGUUAUUGCACGCGUAAUUUCGUCGGCAUUAUGUGGAAAGUGUGUGCAACCUACGCAGGUGCUUUGAUUGAAAUUUGAGAUCCAACAUGACUUGACUUGACUUGCUUUCCAUUAAUAAAUGGAAUCGUCGGGGAAAUGUAACGCGAAGGUGAAGCGAGCAAGACACCGGAAUAACGUUGCUUCAUACUAAAACGGAAGGGUAAAGUAGUGUGAAGCACAAGCUACAUGAGGAGUUUAGGAAAUUGGUGCGACUGAGCAGAGAAUCUCUGGAAUUGAGUAGUGAAUUUUGGUAGAGGUUGUGGAGGAUUGACAAGAAUAGUUCCAAAGCUAACUUAAAGACUUGGACAAAUGCAUUUUCAGCAUCGAAUAUGGGUCAUUGCCUAAACAUUGACUGUUAAAUUAAAUGUAUAUUAUUGCGUAAAUCCCGCUAAUGAAAUUAUUAUAUCACACUGCCUAUUUAAAUGAUGAAAUGAAUGUUGGGUUUUUUUUUUUUUUUGGGAUGAUAAUAGAUCAAUUCAAGUGCUACGUUUUUUUCAAAUGUUAGACAUUCAGCUGAUUUCAGCUUCAAUUUCAUGACCUUUUCCACGAAAAUCACUUGGCAAACCGCACCAGAAAGGGUCAUGAAGUGACCAUGAAUUUGCUUCCAUAAGAUGCAAGAAACUUCUGGCAGGUUUUCGAGUGAGCUUUCUUGAAACCCUCAUCACCUCCAUGCUGUGCUCACAUUAUUCCGUUUUAUGGAUGUGGGGACCCGAAUGUUAUUAUGAUUCUCCGACAUUCAAGAAACCGCAAAAGCUGUGGGAUCAGACCUGCAAAAGAGAAUCCAUGACCAAGGCCCAAUGGCCACCGGUACCCCUCCCCCUUAUUAUUCAUUUCGGUCUCGAAGCAAGCUGUGUUUGUGUGGUAGAAUCCCUUUCUUUCUUAAACUAGUCCAUUAGUUGUUCUAUAAUCUCUUUUGUGCGGUCAAAUCUUCAUCCUCUUAAAAACAAAUAGACAGCACAAGCCGGAGGAGGAGGAAGCAGAUGGUAUCAGGAUGACUGAGUUGCUAGGUUGCGCAAUACCUCGGCCUUCCAAGGGACAACGUCACAUGUUUGUCUCCAUGGCAUGUUUUGUUACACAAACAGACACAUCGAUUGUUCACCGGAGCAUGUUGUGGACAAUGGCCGAUGCGCUUCAAUUGGAAGUCAAGUGUAGUUCCAUGCAUUUGAUGAAUGAAAUUAAAGUUUAGUUGAUUCCAAUUGAUGAUGACCCCUAUGCUAGCAACGAUGCAUAAAUUGCCCUAUGCUUGUGGUCUAUUUAGCAAGCAUGCACCGUUGUGAUAAAAGGAAAAGCUGCUUUGCUUGGAUACAUGGAGGAAAGGAAGAUAGAAUUUUUUUGAAUUUUCCUGCCACUUCUUCUCAGGAAAGUUGCAAGAAUUUACUUCAUUUUCCUCCUUUUCCCCUACUUCCCAAGUAAAGCAUUAAGGCAGUACCUCGGAAAAUCAAAGCAUAUAUAUAUGGAAGGAUGAAAUAUAGGGCGGUCUUGCUUUCUUCACAUAAGACUGUUUACCCAAAUAAGGAUUAAAUUCUUAAUAUAUGCUGACUAACUCAGAUUAUAAUAGAACAUUCCUCUAACUGCAGGAAUAUUGUAUACAUGUAGAUCGGCAAUAUGAACGGGGAAAUUGCCUUUUUUGAAUAUUAAGUCGGGUUGGUUUGUGCAAAUGGCAAAACUCAAAAGUGUUGCAUUUGAGUCCUUCAAGAAGGGGCAAAUUCAAAUAGGAGUAAGCAGACAGCAGCAAAUUAUUAAAAUCUGGCUUUAUGUGAUUUGACCAAGAUGAGAAAUUACAACAGCCUUUAUUCAUUAAAAAAACACAAGUUUUUGUCAUGGACUUAUGACACACUACGUACUUGAAACCAAACUUGGCUAAAUUCUUGAAAUCUUCAUGUCAUGCUCUAAGAAUUAGGGACUACCAAAAUUAUUUUUUUCAUGACAUAAUANNNNNNNNNNNNNNNNNNNNNNNNNNNNNNNNNNNNNNNNNNNNNNNNNNNNNNNNNNNNNNNNNNNNNNNNNNNNNNNNNNNNNNNNNNNNNNNNNNNNNNNNNNNNNNNNNNNNNNNNNNNNNNNNNNNNNNNNNNNNNNNNNNNNNNNNNNNNNNNNNNNNNNNNNNNNNNNNNNNNNNNNNNNNNNNNNNNNNNNNNNNNNNNNNNNNNNNNNNNNNNNNNNNNNNNNNNNNNNNNNNNNNNNNNNNNNNNNNNNNNNNNNNNNNNNNNNNNNNNNNNNNNNNNNNNNNNNNNNNNNNNNNNNNNNNNNNNNNNNNNNNNNNNNNNNNNNNNNNNNNNNNNNNNNNNNNNNNNNNNNNNNNNNNNNNNNNNNNNNNNNNNNNNNNNNNNNNNNNNNNNNNNNNNNNNNNNNNNNNNNNNNNNNNNNNNNNNNNNNNNNNNNNNNNNNNNNNNNNNNNNNNNNNNNNNNNNNNNNNNNNNNNNNNNNNNNNNNNNNNNNNNNNNNNNNNNNNNNNNNNNNNNNNNNNNNNNNNNNNNNNNNNNNNNNNNNNNNNNNNNNNNNNNNNNNNNNNNNNNNNNNNNNNNNNNNNNNNNNNNNNNNNNNNNNNNNNNNNNNNNNNNNNNNNNNNNNNNNNNNNNNNNNNNNNNNNNNNNNNNNNNNNNNNNNNNNNNNNNNNNNNNNNNNNNNNNNNNNNNNNNNNNNNNNNNNNNNNNNNNCCAUGUUAGAAAUGGAGCUUUUCCUUACUUUGGAUUGGGAUUUUGUUGACACGGCCUUUGACAGCAUUAACACCUCUCUAUCAGCGGGCUAAUUCCAUAAAAAAAGCAUCAACUUUAGGUUGAUGGACAAAUCUGACCAAAACUUUUUUUUUUGUCUCACGAAAAAGCACAAACUUUAGGUUAAGGGACAAAUCUGACCCAAACUUUUUUUUGUCUUGUAAAAAAGCAUUAACUUUUGGUUAAGUGACAAUUCUGACCCCAAUAUUUUUUUGUCUAGUAAAAAAUCAUAAACUUUCACUCCUAUCCAAAAUCAAACCCCUACCAUUAACUUUCUAUUUGAAGUUAACCUUAUUUUAGGAGAAAAUAUUCUAGCCGUGAGGUUAGUGGAUCUCAUCUAUGGUUUCUCUUGACGGGCGGUGAUCUAUAAUUUCAUAUUACGACAAAACGAUAAAGUCUAGCAAGAGAAAUUCAAUUUGGAGGUUUUUUUACUUGCUAGUGAAGUAUAGGAGACGGCAUAAUUUCACCAUUAUUUUUCAAGCUGUGGCUCACACAAGAAGACAAAUAGUGUUAGCCAGCAAGUGCACAUGGAUUUAUUGGUAAGGACAAUCAAUGAAUCUAAGUUAAAAUGGGCUAGAUUUAGGAUUUAAGUGAAAGUUAAUUAUUUUUUUUCGAAAUAAAAAAAUAUUUUGGCCAUAAUUGUCACUCAACCUGAAGUUGGUGUUUUUUUUAUGUGAUAGAAAAAUGUUUGGGUUAGAUUUGUCACUCAACCUAAAGUUGGUGUUUUUUUACGAGAUAAAAAAAAGUUCAGGUCAGAUUUGUCCAUCGAUCUAAAGUUAGUGCUGUUUUUUGAAAUUAACCCCUAUGUUAGCUGGCUAGCUAGUAGCCUUGCUUCGCUUCCCGUCGGUGAAUGAUGAUCAUUGUCUUUGAUGGAGCGAUUGAUUGAUCGAGAUGCAAAGCUCAUUGAUCAACCGUGCAAAGAUCUCCGAGCCAUUUGUUCCCGAACCCAAUACCAGACAAAGGGAGACGUUCCUGAAUUCAGACCGUACUCUUCUUUUUUGUUUGAGCUGCUCCAUUACGCGCGAUAUACAUAAACCUUUCAAACAAGAGAUCCUGGACACUCCGAUUAGUAUGAAAUUGGGGUUUUUGACGGUGUUGGGUUGAGAUAUUUUCUCUUUAUUUUCAUCGCAUGCAUUCACUUGAAUCCAACAUACUUGUUUCUACACCCGGAAAGAAAAAAAAAAAAAGUCGAUUCUACUUUUGUGAAAAUAAAUCCAAGGGUCAGUGUAAAUCAUAUAUUUAUAUAUAUCAUAGGUCUUUAUAAAAAUUCAUGACAGGCCCCUAUCCAUCAUCCAGUUUUCUUACCCAUCAUCCAGUUUUCUUACCAAAGACAAAAUUGUACUUCAAAAGUAAAUGGAAUAUUUUACUCGUUAAAUCACAAUUAUUUUUUAAUCUUUGAACACUUGCUUUAUUUUUUUGCCAAAUAUUAAGCUCAUUUUCCUAAAUAGACCAAACACUCAAAAACUUAUAGUGCGUUUCGUUUGACUUUACAAAUGAGCUUUAAAUGUAAUGCACAUGUUAAAAACUGAAAUCCUUUAGAGAAAUACAAAUUGCGUUUGGUAAAGCCCCUUGUAAAGCAACUUUGAGUGUAAUAAUGUUUGGUAAUUUUUUUUGUAAAGGGCUUGAUUGUAAUUUUCUUUUUUUUUAUUGUUAAAAAGAAAUCAAACCCUUCAUUGGCAAAGAGUUUGGGCUCCCAUCGAGCCAAAUCUAGCAUUGGUGGUCAACAACUGAGGUUGCAUGACCUCAGGCAACUCUUAGCAAAUGUCACAAGACCUUAGGCGGCCAUUGCUUGGGUUGUGAGACCCUAUGUGACGGUCGCUUGGGUUGCGUGACUUGGACAUCCCUCACUAGGGUCUCGCAAUAUUGCCGGCCCUUUGUUUGUUAGAUCUGACCUCAUAAGCCCUUGCUAGUUGCCAUCACAAAGGCAAUGAACUAUGAGGGGCAGAAUCGAAAAACUGAAGAAUUGAUGAUGGUAAUUUUGAAAAAAAAAAAUUAUUCAACCAUAGUUUUGGUAUUCUGCAAAUACUACUUCAAAAGGCUAGUCUAUGCUUGCCUUGGGCUUUUAGCAUCCCCAAGCCCAACAUUUGACCAAAAAUUGCUUGGAAAGGCUUGUCAAACAACCUAAUAUCUCUUAAAGGGGUUUUGAAGGCCGAAAGCACAUUGAAAAAGUUGAAUCAAACGGACCAUUAGUGUUUUCCAAAGUUAAUGAAUUAUUAUCUCUUAAAAGCAUGUCCACUUUUAAUCGUGCACAAUAUAUGGUGACCAUUUUGAUCACAUUUACUGAUAAUGAAAAAGAAUUCAUAAUACUACUGGUGAUAUAUCCACACUCAAUUUGUAUUUAGAUAGAUAAAAUAUAAGAUAUUUGCAAAUCAGAUAGGCAUUCGUGGGACGCAGUCGUAGGUUCAUCUCCAAGACGACACAUGUCAAAGAACAAAAUGAAUCGAAAACAAUAAUACCCCAUAAUUUAGUUUGACCUCCCCAUUCAUGUUGUGAGGAUUCAACAAAAGGAAUCACGUCAAUUUCACGCACAAACACACGCAUAUAUACAUAUAUUCCAACCUAAAAAGGGAAAAAAGAGCAAAAAGACAUGCAAAUCAUUACCUUUUCCCAAAUUAUCAGAGACGAGUUGGAAGGAAAUUAAAGUACUACCGACAACGUGGCUAAUAGAAAAAAUAGAAAAGAAAGAUCGACCACAUAUUUUUCUUCUUGAUUUGUAUUUGUCUCCGUACACAUCUAAAUUUUCUCAAAGUGACCCCUAUGGGACCCUCGAGCCCAUUCCAUGAAUAUACUCAAAACAUUUUGUAAUGAUGUUUUUGUGGGGGUGUGAAAGUCAUAUUCUAUUUUUCUUCAGACAGCAACUAAACACACCACAACAACAAGAGCGGGACAAUCUUUUGCAGUUCAACUACUCAACUUGCUCCGAUUCUCCUACAAAAGGGGCGUUUGGUUUGGCACCGGGAGAGCGUCUCUAGAAAAAUGCAAAGGCUUUAAGGAAUUUUUCAAAAUAUAAAUAAUGUUUAGUAAAAGGUAUUUUAAAAAUAAAUUAGGAGGCAACUUUGACCUAAAAACCAUAUGGUGAAAACUAUAUUUUGUCAAGUAGCUAAUCUCAAAAGAAAUAAUUUAAGAAUUUUGCCUCGAAUUAUUGACAUCGUGUUGCCCAAGCAGCACGAUGGAAGAUGGGAUCCACAUCGAGAUAAAUUUGUUGAACCAAGAUGCCAAGAUUUUUCCAAUGCCUUGAUCUUAAGAAGUCAAUUAACCUUUAACACAUCGUGGUGCAUUCACGAGUCUUUAAAUGUCAAAGAUGGAGGGUCAAAAGAGCCAAUAUCAUAGGGGGAAAGAGAAAGGUUAUGAAUUGAAGUUCAUGCAUUUGCAAUUCUUGAUACGUCACGAAAGAAACAUGUAUGAUUAUGCGUCAUGACAUGUUGAUGAUCUUUUACAUCAUCACUAUGUCCAAUUAAAUUGUAGCCCUUCAUAUAAAUUUUUGCUUGCCAACUUGGGACUGUGAGUGCAUGUGCACCGCCUGGUCUAAAAGCUUGUGAUCGGUGGUCAAUCUCAAUCAAAGUGGCUAAGUUUUUCCAAUCCCCUAAAAAAUCAAAUGCGUCAGCAUCAUGAUGAUCAACUCGGCACCUCAAAUCACGGGUUACAUUCAGUCCCCCCUAAUCCUCAUACAACAAAGGAAAAAGCUGUCCAUCUAUUUCAAAAGUAAAACCAGUCCACUUAACUUUGUCCUUAGAGCACGCAAUUCUAGAUGUUCUAAAGCCUCAACAUGGAAACUAUGGGAUAAUGAUAUAGGACCNNNNNNNNNNNNNNNNNNNNNNNNNNNNNNNNNNNNNNNNNNNNNNNNNNNNNNNNNNNNNNNNNNNNNNNNNNNNNNNNNNNNNNNNNNNNNNNNNNNNNNNNNNNNNNNNNNNNNNNNNNNNNNNNNNNNNNNNNNNNNNNNNNNNNNNNNNNNNNNNNNNNNNNNNNNNNNNNNNNNNNNNNNNNNNNNNNNNNNNNNNNNNNNNNNNNNNNNNNNNNNNNNNNNNNNNNNNNNNNNNNNNNNNNNNNNNNNNNNNNNNNNNNNNNNNNNNNNNNNNNNNNNNNNNNNNNNNNNNNNNNNNCCAUCGUCUCAAUGUAAUCUUGGCAAGAGGUGUAUCCAAGUGCUUUCUCUUCGAAAUGGGGAAGAGCAAAGGAUUUGAAUGUGGAUUUAAGAUGAAACGUGAGAAGGAAAUUCUUUUAGGAGCUAUUAGGUCAUCGUUAUACGUGACCAAACUUUUCGCAUGCAAUUCUCAUCCUUAGUCUAAGGCCUUCCUUGUCUCUAGAUAUUGUUCCGGAUUCAGUGCUCUUUUAGUAUAGGCAAGACCGUACGUAACUGUAUCAUGAAGCGUAAUGAUUUGCAUAUUUGAUAAUACACGUUUUAAACCUACUAUAUUUAAAAGCACAAUCAGAUAACUUUUCCUCUUGCAACUAUGAGAGGUUGUCAAAACCUUUUAGAAUUGUAAUGUCCUAUUUUUUCAGAGCUAUAAUUAUUGCUAAAAUGUUUUGACAAACAAGCUCUUGGUCUGCAUUAUUGAGUGUCUUCACUUGUGAUCGAGGACCACAUAAUUUGCCAAAACUUUUCGGUUUCAUGUCAAAAUUAAGGUAUGACAAAAUGAAAAUUGUCCAAAAAGUCUUAAAUCUAUUAUAUGGUCACUAAUUCAAUUUUAAACUCUCCAAUUUGGUUGAUGUAGUCCUAAUUUUUUUUUUCAAUGUAGUCCAUUAGACUAAUUUUGAUUGGAAAUCGUUAAAAUGGCGUCUAGUCAAUGCUGAUCAUCCUCGUGGCACAACCGGUGAUCUGACGAGUAUAAAUUCAUUACAAAACAUCUUCAUUUUGAGAAUUUUUAUAACUUUUCUUAUUUCCUCAUUAUCAUCUUCGUAGAGUGUCGGUGAGGUCAUUUGGGCUUUGCAAUGGCCAACGACAGGUGAGGACCUUUAAGCCCUUGUUGUCAAAGAGCAAGGGCUUUCAAAUCCUUGCCUAGAUGGCGAGGUCCAAGUUGUGAUAGGUGAAGGUGCUGAGGUGGUCGAAGGAGAGCCAGUCACACUUUGGCAACCUCUUCGGCAGCAACUGCUUGUUCCUUUGGGUGAAUCCACCGCCGGUGGAGAACUUGAUUUAGAAAGAUGCAAAACUAAGAGUAUUAAUUUGAAUUUUACCAGAAAUAAGACUUGUGAUUGAAUCUCUAGCUCUUUGUAUCUAAAGUGAUCCAUAAUCAAAUUUGUAAGGGUAACCUAAAGGCACUAGUCAUGCUGAUAAAUGAGUUGACUUUCAUGUCUCUUGAAACACGAUGAUUCAAGUUAUUGAUGAGUUUUUUUGAACGUUUACAAAAAUAAAUGUUCAAGUGUCUAGUUGGAGAAUAGGAUUUGUACACUGUUCGACCAAUCAAUUAUAACUUUCAAAUCAAAGAAAAGUCAUGAGAUCCAUAAUAUCAAAUCGGAAAGGCUUUUCAAAAUUCCAUACUAUAUCUUCCGAGGACCCUCCUGGUUGUUUUUGGCCUCGAAAUUAAUCAAUUUCAUGCAUUAGGACCAUUUUCUAUGUUCGUGCUAUUCUAGGAAAAUGCUUUUGGCGCAUUCGCUAUUUAUUGAGUUAACUUUGAACUUUAGUUUCUAAUUCGGGUUGAUUAGGAGCAUUUCUAUGAAAGGAAGCAAUCCAUCCUUGCACCCAUUAUCUAUAUUAUAUGGAUCCACUAUGAGGCAACUAACCCCUGAAAGAAAUUCCAACUUAGAAUAUUUUAUAGACCAAAGUCAUCAAAGUCUAGAUUUUGAAAUUCCAACCCCUGAUUUACGUGUUAAUCCAUCCGAGAACACGUUAAUCAGAAGUUUAUCACCACUAAAUUGCAUGAGAUUUUGACUGACGGCUCGUCAAUGACCACUUAAAACAGCUCUGAAAUUUCCACACCCGCUUUUUGCCUUGCCGGCUCAAAAGGAACCCGUCUCUGGACAAAUGCAUAACGCGCGGUUCAAUGCAUAAUCCUCGAUUGACAGUAUGGUCUGUCACCAUCACCAUUUUGAAGAAUAUAAUAAGAUGUUGUAACGAAAUUGGUACACGAUCGUUUCAGCCCACUAAAAAGAAUUAUUUAAAAAAAUAAUGGGAUGGUAGGUUGGUCAAAGGGGUUUGUAAAACGUGGUACUUUGCGAUCCAGGUUCAAUGUUGCUCCUUUUAUUAAUUUUAUUAUUAUUUGGAUGAAUCUUUAUUAAAUCAAAUUUGGACAAUGAGAUAAUAUAUAGGUUCGGUCCUUGAAUUUAGGUGGUUAGCCUGCAAUACAAAUGUUUAGUGAAGCAAAUUUGUUAGAGGAAAAUUAUCAAGCAAACUAUAACUUCUAAGAUCUAAAUGUUUGGGAGGAAACUCAACAAAAUUAGACAAAAGUACUUUUCGACAAAUAACUACCCAUUUAAUUUAACAAAGAUCUUCUUGACAAAGCAUUUGUCGCUGGAAUAUAAUGAACUCUUUAAAAAGGAAAAAGAAAAACGAAACUCCAAAACAAAAAUAAGGAUGAUGCUUGGCACGAAUUGAAAUUUAUAAAAAAUAUUCCUAUAUUAUGUUAUAUCACAAGUAAUGAGUGAGCAUUUACACGAGUAGAUCAACUUUGAUAUUUAAAUUGAGUCUUAUAUGUCACAUAAAUGAUCAAACUUGUAAACUAUUAUUAGCAUACGCAGUAUUAUUAAAUAAAAGAAAUGAAGUUACAACUUUUCUAGGGCAAUCAUUGAGUAGACAAAUAAAGCAAUUGUACAAUUCUGGUAAGGUGGCUGAUCUUGUAUUAUAUAAGAUCAACACUUUGAUGGUUGAAUUAUUCUAAACUAGAUCUUAUUAACAAGUACCCCCAGCGACAUUAGUUAAAGUACUUAAAAAUAACAACAACCCAUAUCAACCAAUUCUGAAAAUUGAAGAGGUAUAUAUUUUAAAAAAGACGAAACUCUUUUGAUAGAAAUGUUUAUAUUUUCAAAGCACAAUUGAUGAUCCUUAACAAAUGUCUCCCGUUUUUUUUUUUUUUUUGGUUGGAAAUGUCCCCCGUCUGCCAAGCGUUCUCAAGAUGGUGGUUAAUACGAAUUUUCUUUUAAGCAUUGCGAUUGGGAUUCAUUUUAUUUUUCUUAUUUUCUUAGGCAUUAGUCAAUGAAGAUGUUAAUGGGGUUUUAACUUUAAAGACAAGAUUAGUCAAACCACGGCUGGAGUCAGAAUUGAGCUUCGGAGGUUGAAGUCGACAAAAAAGCAAGUUUUGUCGUUUCGUGCAGCAAGAGAAGCGUGCGGUGCAGAUGAGCAGGUCAACUUGGACGACUUUUCGAGGGGAUACGAUGGAGUGGUCAAAUUUUGUUCUCCCCAAACACGGACAAGAGCAGUUAACUGUGAACGUUCAAUGCACUAGAUACAUCUUGCGCACAGACGUAAAAAAUUGACCGAAAUCAAUUGAUGAGACGGAAGUUUCCUCAGUUAUCGACGUGAUUUAUUCAUUUAUUUAAAUAUUAAUUUUAAUUCGGGAGAAAUUUGGAAUGACGGUAAUUUCAUGUAAUGUUGAAGGAGUCUUUUUAUCAACCCAUAAGAGUUUAAUCAAGGACUUUUAUUUGGUACUCAAUAUUUUGAUUGGAUGCUAGCUGUGAGAUGGGCUUGCAUAAAAUGAACCAAUUACCACAAGAAUAUGCAAUACGAUAAAAAAGACGAUGAGAGAAACGGAUCGAGAAACGGAUCCCAUAACUUAACUUUGUAUUAUUCACACUGUCCUUUUGAAUGGAUAAACUGAAAAUGCUCGAAUUUAGAGGAUCACUAUUAGUUUUAUGGUCUUUGCUUAGGCUUUUGCAUUUUUUCCAUUACCUAAUUUAAAUACUUUAAUUGCCCAGCCUUUUAGACUUUUUUGAUAAAAUGAAAGGUCUGUGAUUUUUUAGGAUAUAUCAAAAGAGGAAGUCUAACAUUUAGAUCUCCCCGUUCCUUUUUAUUUGCUUCAUUAACUAUAAGACGAUCGCACAUUAAACUUAAAUACAAGACCAUAUCCCAUUUCCAAACUAUAUGGGAGAGACGCAUUCGAGAAUUCGAAUUAUUUUUUAUAAUUUGAUAGCAAUCCUCUAAUGCUCCAAGCUAGCAACUGUUAUUAGUAAAACAAUCCUUUUUCUUUUUAAAUCAAGGAUGGAUAACUUUAAUAGACAAAAGGGAAAAUGACACAGAUACAUUAAAUUUUUGCACAUGAAAAUCACACCCUAGCGCUACUACUCUUCCCAUACCUGUCCACAAAUUCGAACUUUAUAUGGCUAAUUAUUUCAUGAUGAAAAUAUAAAUGCCCCGAGUUCAAUACUAUCACAGCUGGUGUGUCAAUAAUAUUGUCCACACUUCCAGUUGAUCGAAGAAAAACUCGAGAUAUUAUGGACUUCCGGAUAGUUAACUCUUUCAUUUGUGCCCUAAAUUAUGAAAAUAUGUCAUUAGGCUGCAAAUAGGUGAAGAUAAAUUCGUCUUCUUUGGCACCCAGAUUGCAAUUCAAAUUUGUUAAGUGAAGGAUUAAAUUCAUUGGAUUUCUAAGCUACAAUGCCCACUUUAUCAUGUAUAUCUAACAUCACGCCCAAAUAAAUUUCUCAGUGCAACAUGUACCAUGUUUAAUGAACAAAACUUAGAAAAAGUAAAAAGAAUGAUAUAUACGUGAUUAGUGAGGACCCAUUGAUCAAAUGAUUUGUAUAUUCUAGUUGUCCACUAGAUUUAUGCAGCAUAUAAAUAAUAAAAAUUAUCCAAAACAACUAUACUCCAUUCAGGUUGUGAGGAUUCAAUGAGAGGAAUCACAUCAAUUUGACGAAAAAGAACAAGAAAUUUCCAAUCGAAAAGGGCAAAAGAGCAAAGAGACCUGCAAAUGGGCAGCUUUUUUUCCAAAUUAUCAAAUGCCAAGUUGUUAGGAAAAUAAAGCACUACCGACAAUGUGGCCAAUAGGAAAAGAGAGAGAGAGAGAGAAGAUCAACAACAUAUUUUUCUUGAUUUUUAUUUGCCCCCCAUAGACAUCUAAAUUUUCUCAAAUUAUCCCCUACGGGACCCUCAGGCCCAUCCCAUGAAUAUUCACAAACAUCAAGAAUGAUGUUUGGUGGUGGUACUGUGCGGUCAUAUUCUUCCGAUUCAGACAGAACAGCAACUAGCAUGCACCGACAAGAAGACAAUCUUUUGUAGUUCCCCUACUCAACUUGCUCCUGUUCUUCUAGAACGUGGCCGAUCUCCAAAAGAACUAUAACAGCACAAGAUAGCACGACAGAAGAUGGGUUCCAUACUAAGCCACCUCAAGAUAAAUUUUUGGGGACCAAGAUCCAAGAUUUUCCAAUGUUUUGGUUAAUUCAGGAAGUAGAAUUCAGUCGACCAAUCUCGUUGGAUUUACAGGUCUUAGAUGUGGGCAUCAAGGUCACGCAGAAAUGUUAAGGAAAGGAAGAGGCAACAUUAGGGUUUUGGGGUUUGUCAAAGAUGGAGGGUUCAAAAGAGCUGACAUUGUCAGGGGAGGGGGAACGGAACAAGGGUCACGGAUGUAAAGUGCAUGCAUCUGCAAUUCUUGAUACAACAUGAAAAGAAAAAUGCAUUAUGUGCAUUCAACGAUAGGGCAUUUGUCAUGAAAUGCAGGUGAUUUUUGAAGAUGUCCAUGAGUAUGGGCUAGAGUCAGAGAAACCCUCCUCACCAUAGCCCAAGUUGAGCCCUUUUUUUUUGGGAGGGGGGAGCAUAAUUCCCAGUCGAGCCUUCUUUCUAACGGAGAAAGGUGAGAAUUCUGACCACAUCCGCAUCAUUGAAAUAAUCAACGAUUAAUAAUAUGAUUCAUUUAUCAAGAUAAAAAAUUGGGUACAUAUCAAUGUGUAAAUUUCACUUGGGUAAUAAUUUUUCUUCAUGUCGUGAGUAUAUCCAAUUAAAGUCCAAAAAUAGCAAUUAAUCAAAAUAGCCCUUUUCCAAGUAGUAUCAGUUAAUUUUGGGGAGUCAAGAUUGACGAGUAUAUUUAUUUCAAACAAGAAAGGGGAGAUGAAAUCACAUUCACUUUCUACAACGAGUAGAGAAAACUCUUACCUUGUUUCCAUCAAUUACAUCCGCGGCCUCCUCAGAAUUCCAUACUCUGCUCCGCUUUUGAGGCUCCUUUGGAUUUUCCAGACGAACAAUUUCCCUUCCAAGAUCUCUCAAUUGAUCAUGCAUCAUCAGCAUUUCGAAUUUGUCAAUUUUAAUUAAGGACAUAAGACUCAAUACUUCAAUCCCCCUCCCCGGGAGAAAACUACUGGCAUCCCACAUGUAAGUUGGAUUUUGUUUAUUUGAAUUGAUGAAAAAGCAUGCAAUAUCCAAAAAUAUUUGUUGUUCCUCAUCAUCUAAUGCUUCGUAACUUAUUUUCAACUUCUCUUGCACUUUCUUAUCAGGCACUUUCUUUAAUUUCUUUAAUGUAUCUUUCCAUACUUCUUCUCUCUUUCCAUAUAAGAAUGAACCAAUAACUUCAAGAGCUAAUGGAAGCCCUCCAGUAGUAGAUACCAUAUGAUGAGAGAUAAUCUUACAAUCAGUCAAAGGAGAAUCCUUUCGAAAUGCAUGUCUACUAAAUAAAAUCAGUGAUUGAUCAGAAGGCAACUCUUCGAGUUGGUACAUAUAGCCCGCCCUACCUUCAUCAAGAAUGCUUUUGUUUCUAGUUGUGAUGAUGACUAUACUUCCCGCUUCAAACCAACUACCAUCCCCGACCAAAGCACUCAAGUGCGUACAAUCAUCCAUAUCAUCUAAAAGAACAAGAACUUUCUUACUUGUAAAUCGAGAUUUUAUGAUAUUGGUUCCUUCAUCGACAUUAGACACCUCACACAAACUUCCUAUUAUGGCAGAAACGAGUUGCUUUUGCACACACUCAAUACCCUUACGCUGAUAUGUUUCUCGGAUAUUUGCAACAAAGCUACGAUAGUCAAAUUGACUAGAAAGUUUGUUGUAUAACACCUUUGCAAGAGUUGUCUUACCGAUGCCGCCCAUUCCAUAAAUUCCAAUAAUCCUUGUACCAUUGGAUUCGACAUCUAUCUUGCUCAUAAUCUGUUGCACAUGAUCAUUGAUUCCCACCAACUGUUCGGGAACAUUUAGCUGAAAAAAUCUUUUUAACUCGCCCAUAACUUUUUUGACAACAAUAUCCACCAAUGUUCCUUCGUGCCUGUCAAGUAAUGAUGAAUAUCAAUAUAGGAUAGCAAUAUGUAUAUUCUUUUUCAAGAAAUAUCUAUUUAUGAAAGAUUAAACAAUGUUUUGUUGGAGAAUAAGGUACCCGUUAUCAAUUUUCUCCGAUUCCCAUCCUUUCAAGAAGCUGACUUCUUUAAGUGCUUCUUCCCAUUCUUUCAUAACCAUUUCAUCCAUAAUCUUUUUAUGUGCAUUGAUAGCAUCUCUCAAUCUCCCCAUAGGAUGUCGCACUUGCAAGGGUUCCACUUUGUAAAAUAUGGGCAACACUAUCUACCCUUUACUUCUCUUGCACUUCAACAUCUCAACUAGCUCGCGGAGGCACCAUUUACUUGAGGCGUAGUUCUCCGAAAUAAUUGGGAUCGAGAUCUUAGACUUGGUAAUACUGCAAAGAAGCUCCAAACCAAUCUCCUCACCAACACGGAGCUCAUUAUCGUCUCUAAACACACCAAUUCCUGCAUGGUUAAGGUAAUGAUAAAGAUGAUCGGUGAAGCCUUUGCGAGUGUCUUCCCCUCUAAAACUCAAAAACACUUCAUAAUCAUUUCCCCUCGGCCUUUUGGUUCCACCUUCAUAAUCACCUCCAUGUGGAGAGGUUGAUGAGGAAGACGCCUCAUAGAUCGGAUCUUUUGAAUUAAAGGGUUCUUUUCUUUUCAUCUCGAGAGGAUUGUAGAAGCGAUUGAUGGAGAAGGAAACAGAGAGAAAUAUGGAAUCCCAAAUUUGAGAGUAGCAACCGACCAAAAAAAAUCUGAGAAUAGCAAAAAUGUCUCCCAAGACUCAAACUCGGAGCUACAUUCAAACAAAAAUAGAAACUCUCAGACGACUCAUCAGAAGAAAAUAGAGCAAUCAAAGCAGGAAAUAGAGAAGUACAUGUAGCCAUCGAUUACCUUAGGAGUGGUCGAACGACAUGACCCACCCACUGUCGGGAUCCACACCGAUCGUCAGCCUUCGACGUUGGAUUACAAACAUACAAACUCUUUACUGCGCGUUCUUGAACAAUGCUGAUUCUUGACUGCUAGGUGCUUAAAGAAUGAUGGUCAUUGCACUCGUAAUAUUUGCAGGAUUAUGCAGAAGUUGCGGGGAACCUUUCCAAUGGCUUCUUGACUUGACUUGCUUUUUUCUUUUCCUUUGGGCAAAAAAGUAAAAAAGAAAACCAACUUGCAAUAAAGAUGCUCCUAGUCCUUGUCCUUGCUUUUUCUAUUGUGCGCAACCAACUUGCAAUAAAGAUGCUUCUAGUCCUUGCUUUUUCUUUUGUGCAUGCUCGAACAAUGCUGACCACUUGACGAAUGCCGAGUUAUUGCACGCGUAAUUUCGUCAGCAUUAUGUGGAAAGUGCGUGCAACCUACGCAGGUGCUUUGAUUGAAAUUUGAGAUCCAACACAACUUGACUUGACUUGCUUUCCAUUAAUAAACGGAAUCGUCGGGGAAAUGUAACGCGAAGGCGAAGCGAGCAAGACACCAGAAUAACGUUGCUUCAUGCUAAAACGGAAGGGUAAAGUAGUGUGAAGCACAAGCUACAUGAGGAGUUUAGGAAAUUGGUGCGACUGAGCAGAGAAUCUCUGGAAUUGAGUAGUGAAUUUUGGUAGAGGUUGUGUAGGAUUGACAAGAAUAGUUCCAAAGCUAACUUAAAGACUUGGACAAAUGCAUUUUCAGCAUCGAAUAUGGGUCAUUGCCUAAAUAUUGAUUGUUAAAUUGAAUGUAUAUUAUUGCGUAAAUCCCGCUAAUGAAAUUAUUAUCUCACAUUGCCUAAUUAAAUGAUGAAAUGAAUGUUGGGGUUUUUUUUUUUUGGAUGAUAAUAGAUCAAUUCAAGUGCUACGUUUUCUUUCAAAUGUUAGACAUUCAGCUGAUUUCAGCUUCAAUUUCAUGACCUUUUCCACGAAAAUCACUUGGCAAACCGCACCAGAAAAGGUCAUGAAGUGACCAUGAAUUUGCUUCCAUAAGAUGCAAGAAACUUCUGGCAGGUUUUCGAGUGAGCUUCCUUGAAACCCUCGUCACCUCCAUGCUGUGCUCACAUUAUUCCGUUUUAUGGAUGUGGGGACCCGAAUGUUAUUAUGAUUCUCCGACAUUCAAGAAAGCGCAAAAGCUGUGGGAUCAGACCUGCAAAAGAGAAUCCACGACUAAGGCCCAAUGGCCACCGGUAGCGCUCCCCCUUAUUAUUCAUUUCGGUCUCGAAGCAAGCUGUGUUUGUGUGGUAGAAUCCCUUUCUUUCUUAAACUAGUCCAUUAGUUGUUCUAUAAUCUCUUUUGUGCGGUCAAAUCUUCAUCCUCUUAAAACAAAUAGACAGCACAAGCCGGAGGAGGAGGAAGCAGAUGGUAUCAGGAUGACUGAGUUGCUAGGUUGCGCAAUACCUCGGCCUUCCAAGGGACAACAUCACAUGUUUGUCUCCAUGGCAUGUUUUGUUACACAAACAUACACAUCGAUUGUUCACCGGAGCAUGUUGUGGAUAAUGGCCGAUGCACUUCAAUUGGAAGUCAAGUGUAGUUCCAUCCAUUUGAUGAAUGAAAUUAAAGUUUAGUUGAUUCCAAUUGAUGAUGACCCCUAUGCUAGCAACGAUGCAUAAAUUGCCCUAUGCUUGUGGUCUAUUUAGCAAGCAUGCACCGUUGUGAUAAAAGGAAAAGCUGCUUUGCUUGGAUACAUGGAGUUGCUUGGAUACAUGGAGGAAAGGAAGAUAUAAUUUUUUUUGAAUUUUCCUGCCACGUCUUCUCAGGAAAGUUGCAAGAAUUUACUUCAUUUCCCUCCUUUUCCCCUCCUUCCCAAGUAAAGCAUUAAGGCAGUACCUCGGAAAAUCAAAGCAUAUAUAUAUGGAAGGAUGAAAUAUAGGGCGGUCUUGCUUUCUUCACAGAAGACUGUUUACCCAAAUGAGGAUUAAAUUCUUAAUAUAUGCUGACUAACUCAGAUUAUAAUACAUUCCUCUAACUGCAGGAAUAUUGUAUACAUGUAGAUCGGCAAUAUGAACAGGGAAAUUGCCUUUUUUGAAUAUUAGUUCGGGUUGGUUUGUGCAAAUGGCAAAACUCAAAAGUGUUGCAUUUGAGUCCUUCUAGAAGGGGCAAAUUCAAAUAGGAGCAAGUAGACAACAGCAAAUUAUUAAAAUCUGGCUUUAUGUGAUUGACUAAGAUAAGAAAUUACAACAGCCUUUAUUCAUUAAAUAAAACACAGGUUUUUGUCAUGGACUUAUGACACACUACGUACUUGAAACCAAGCUUGUCUAAAUCAUGAAAUCCUUCAAGUCAUGCUCUAAGAUAUAGGACUACCAAAAUUAUUUUUUCAUGACAAUAAUAGACUCCCAUAAAUUAAUUGUCAUGUCAUGCUCAAAGCCCUGAUUUUAUAAUUUUUGUUGAUCUUUCUACUUUAUUUUCGAAUGGCCAAUCAGAUGAAAAAGUUACUAUUUACACGUCCUUUCUAUAGGACUAAAAUCCCAAUUCCACAUUCACGGUACGCUCCAAUCCAAAUCCCCAUAAAAGAGGUGGUCUCUGAUUUUGCGGAAUGCAAAAGAUAUUCUAGAAAAGAAUAUGAAAUGCAAUUUUUCACAUCGUAAACUGUAUUUGUUUUUUCUAAUGGUGCUUUUGAUAAUUGGGCGUGCUUGAUGUAUAAAUCCCUCCCUAGAAAAAAAAAUGAAAUUCAGGAUGUAAUCAGGGCAAAUUUUUUUUUUGUCAAUAAUAUUUUUCUAUUAAAAAAUGAAAUCCAGGACGUAAUUAGGGCAAAAUUUUUUUUUGUCGGUAAUAUUUUUCUAUUAACACCAUAUAUCUUAAAUGGAGGUUCUUGAUGGUAAAUUGUUAGGCUAGUUUUCUCGAGGUGGGACUGUUUCUGAGCCCGCGCUUUGGUGCACAUUUCUCAUGCCAUAUCCAUUGCCAGCUAUUCAAUCAAAACUUAUUAGUGUCAAUUGUCGAAUUGAAUAUGAUAAAAUUAUUGUGUUCAAAGUCACUAGAUCAUUGCAAAGUGUGAAAGAUAUAAGAAUAUAUGGCACAUCUAUUAUAAUGUACUACAUUAUGGCAGGCCAUAGUAACCAAGGACAACGGCAUAAUAACGUAGAAUAAUAUUGUUUUAUGACUUUACAAUGUAUUAUUGUAAUCAAUGUUGAUAUGAUGUAAAAUAGAGAUAUGCACCUAAGUAUUUUCGGAAGAUGAAUAGAGUCAACACUGAUGCAAGGAAAAAAAGGGUUAAUAUCCUCAAAAAUCCUAAACUGGUUCAUUUGACCAAACUAAUUUUUUGAUCACCAAACACAUUUGAUAAAUUUAUCUUAAACUAAUAUAUUUAUGACAAAUUUACUCUUUAUUAGUUUUCGUUAAGUUUUACCGUUACAUUACUAAGUUGGAUCAUACAUGACAGUUGACUGGUGUAUCAAUUAGAGAUUUUACUCUUCGUUUGUCAUGGUAAUAUAAUUUUUGUGAUCUUUAUGGUAUUAACCCAAUUUAAUGGAGGAUAUGUUUGAGUAAUCGAACAAAUUGAUUUGGGAUAAAUUUAUCACAAGUGUACUAAUUUAAGAUUUUUUUUUAAUUAUUUUGGAUAAAUUUGUUACAAAUGUAUUAAUUUGAGAUUUUUCAUGAUCAAAAAAUUAAUUUGAGAUAAAUUUAUUAUACGUGUAUCGGUUUGAAGUUUUUUAGGUAUUAAUCCAAAAAAAAAAAAUGAUAAAGUGUAGGGAGAAAUGACGUCAUACCACUCACUCUCUGCUGCGCGUGCUUGAAGAAUUCUUAGCUCUUGCCAUCGAACGGUCCAAGAAUCUUAAACUAAUCGAACCGCUGCGUUUGCAAUGGAAAGGGCAAUUAUUGCACGCACGAUUUCCAGGGCAUUGCGCAGAAGGGGCGUGGGGACUACCUAGGCGCUCUUUUUUCCAAAGCAAGCACAACUUCGACUUGACUUGCUUUUGCUAUUAAUUAAACAAUUAGAAAAUAAAAAGCAAAAGGGCAAUUAUUGCAGGUGUAAUUUCUGCAGUGUCAUGCGGAAGGUGCGUUGAACCUCCCGACGCAUGUGCACCUUGACUUGACUUUGCUUUUCGAGGUGAAUGAAGAAUUGAAAAGAAAACCUACCAGCAACGCUGAUGCUCAGAUCAAAGGUCGGCCAAAGAUUAGAUGCACACUUCUCCCGAUUUGAAUGGAGCUAUAAGUAUAGUCGGACAUUUGAUAUAUCAAAUAAUGACCAGAAAAUCUACGGUAUAUGAGAAUUAUCAAGAUAAUUGAUAAUCGAUUGAUAGUAAAUGCAUGAAGUUUUAUUUGUCCUUACCCGAGCAAGUUAGAAAAUUACAACAAUUUUGUUUGCACAAUCAACAAUUAAUUGAAUUACGGUAUUACAUUCCAUCGACCUUUUUUUUUUUUUUUUUCCUUUUCAUGGACUCACAAGACAUUAUAGUUGGUCCUUUCAAGUGGGUGGAAUUACGGGUUUAUACAUUUAGUGUCGCAUUUAGAAAUUCUUAAUCAACAGGUUCUCUGCACCAUCUAAUAAUUAUUUAGUGAAUAUCCGUUUCCUUUUUUAUUCAUUUGGUGUUUAGCUUUUUGGGUAAAUAUUUUCAGCCAACGGCUUCUCCACCAAAGUGCACUUUUCCUUUGCACGGUAUUAAGCUUCUUCAAAACCUGAAAUGAUUAGAUAAUACAGAAAAAAAGCUCAACGGCUUAGUAUGCGAGUGACUGACCACAACUCAUCAUUCUAGGAUCAACAACUUACAAGUAAGAAGAUUAAAAUUGAACGCUAUCACAUGAUCAAAUAGUGAUUAGAAAAGGAAAUCCUGUGUGCUCAUAUAAAAAAAAAACAAAAACAAAAAAACAAAGUAGGAAAAGAAAAUCCACUAAUUAAUGUAAUACACAAAUUCAUUUGGAUAAAACCUUGUUGCUCGAAGACACAAUUGCAGGAUCACAAUCAUAUAUCUACAACAACGUCCAAAAAAGUUUCUUUAAUUGACCCUAGUUUAGGAUUAUGAUUUAAACUUGAAAACAGUAUAAGAUCCCCAUAAAGGAUAUGCCAUGACAUGUAUCCUAAACUAGACAUGAAAAAAGAAGUAAUGUGAUCCAUAAAUUAAUGGGGAACAAAAAGUAAAUAUUUGGGGCAGCAUGGGAGAGAAUCUAGAAACAGAAGGUGAGAAACCGAAGAGGAUUCCACAAUAUUAGAUUCUAGAGCACAAGCACCAAGCCUGAGAUCUUGCAUCCCAACAGAUUGCCUAGAGCCAAUUCCCAUGUCGAUAUGCCAAGCACAAUCUUUUUUUGGAUAGAUAUACAUAGAUGGCAUGUCACAGCUACACGAAACGACAUUUCACGAUCAUACACAUGGGAGGAUAUCCCUGCAGUAUAAAAUCUAACCCUUAAGGUAAAGGUUGUUAAGAUUAAUCCAAAAAUGAUUGAAAUUGGACUUUGGAUCAAUGAUUGUAAGACUACAGAAACUUAAGGUCUAAAGUGAUAGAUUCUUUAUCUUUUCUUCUGCACUAAUACCUGCAUGUCAUCUUUGAAAAAAGAGAAUGAAGUUCGAAAGUAGAAGACAAAAGCAAGAGCAUCACCAUAGCAGAAGCACAUCACUGAAGAAACUCUCAUGCCUAUUAGAGAAAGUCAACUAGAGAAGCAUAUGGGGCAUGAGUAAAGAAGGGAAUAAAACAAACGCAAAACCAGAUGAUGGCAACGAAAAGAAGAAGACAGGAGGAUGAAGAAAAUAGAAAAGGUAAAGAGGCAUGUGCUACUAUACAAAAAAGAAUUCUGUUCCUAACCAGAAAAGAUGGCUGCAGUACAAAAGUGUUAGUAUUGUGCUACAUUGCUGUCUGUGGACACACAUCAGACCUUUCAUUUACCCCAAUCCAAGCUCUCAUGAAGGUAGAGCGCACUUCCAACUCCACCAAUAAAAGGUUAUUCUUACAUCAGAGAAAAGCUUAUGGAUUCUCCCAAGUCUGUAUAGAAAGUAUAUUCAGCCUUGCCACCACCAACAAU
rnacentral:lncRNA from 1 species